UCAUAGUCUUGUUUCUCAAGACAAUUUCUUCUCGCGUUGAUGUACUUAUGUUUAGUCCGCGAGGUAGAUUUAGUUUAUCAAGUUGAUUCAUACAUUUUAUUGCUUAAUUAGUUUUACUAGUGAACUGGUUUGGAUGAUAUCCGCUGUGUUGCUUCUUAUAUAUGUUAGUGUGGUAUGGAGUGAUUGGCUCUAUUAUGGGGUUGCAAUGAAAUGCCUACACAUUCCUAUCAUAUAAUGCCGUGUAUGGUGGAAGCAAGCUUAGGAAUAGCUUAAGUGGAAUGUCUGGAGACAUUCUGGUUCAUCCUUUGUAAUAUGUCAUUUCCUAAACCAGAUGGAAAUAUAUUUAAAUGCGAUCUUUCUCAGUUUUUGCAGCUUGUGUUGAUUUACUUUGUUCUCAAUCAUUGUUCAUGCCAGCUUAUCAUACCGGUUAAUUGAUUUGGGGAGGGGGUGGUGGGUUAUUUACAGUUUCCUCGAGAUAUUUCUUUUGGUAUAGAGUGCAAUGUUGUUUCCUGCUUCUUAGGUGUUUCCUUUAACUGCUUAUUCUCUAUUCUUUCCUACUGAAGAUAUUCUGCAGCGCAUGAAUACUCACACAACCUUUUAUAUGUGUGUGCAUGUCUACACACUUGCAUUUAUCUUCAUUCAAUCAACUAUAUUUCAAUUCUGAAAUCAUUGAGGUCAGUUAUUAUAUGAAUUGUCAAUAUCCAUUCGUUUUGUUCAGGUCCAUUGCAUUCCUAUACUGAUUAAUUAGGUCUUAAAAGACAAAUUAGGGGUUUCCUAAAUCUCCCACACAUUUCUAUGGUAUCUAUUGUCUAGUUUAAUCUCAACUGUUUGGCAUAACUAAUGCAGAUCUCUUGGUUUGAUUGUGUUCUGUUUUUAACCAAGUCUACAUGGAUUUCAAAAAACUUCAGGGAUUGUAAACUAUUUUUUCCGUGCGAUUUUAGUUCACCUUUUAAAAACCUUAGUUAUCGUGUUGUCAAACCUAUAAACCAGUGUAUUUUGGAGGUCUUAACACAUGGGGAAGACAUCGAACUUUAUCUUCUAUAUGUGCUACCUGCACUCUAUUAGAUGUAAUAAGUUCUGGCAUUUUCUAAUUUACUUGUGUCUAAAAGUGUCGUCCAGUUUUAUAAGAUCUUAAAUUUGUUUUAAUAUCAGUUCUUUGACAACAUUUAUCUUAUGAACAUCUUGAGCAUCUUAGAAAUGCAAUUCACUCUUGUAUAAUAGUAUGUUAUACAAUCAUUCUAUCCUGAAUUAUGUUUUUAUCGCAUGGAACCGCUCUAGGAUUCUUUUGGUUUCAGCCCUCCUUAUUUGGCUCUCUCUGUCAUACCUUAUUUUCUUGGUAGACUCAAAAUAGAUAUCUAAAUUGUUUAUGUUGAGAAUAUAAUCAAAUAAUAAAGGUAUGCUCUCUCUAAUAGCUUAAUCUUUUAGAUGAAAUUGUCACAUACUUACAUAUGGUAUCAGAGCAGGCAGAGGUCUUGAGAUCGAUUAUCACCACCACCCAAAUAAUCAAAAUGAAUUUCUAUGUGCUUGGCCCAUUUAAAAAUCAAACUCGUCCGCCUGCACGUGAGGGGGUGUUGAGAAUAGAAUUUAAUAAUAAAAGUGUAUUCUCUCUAAGGAGAAGACAUUGUUGGAGCAGGUAAUAAGUCACCAAGAUUGCUUUGUGCACCUUUAUAUGAGUUGGAAAUACCAACUUGAUUAGCAAGUUCAGUAGGAGGUUGAGGUCGUCGGAAAUAGACCUUAAGAUCUGGAGAUGGAGUUGGGGUUGGAAUAGUUUGAACGAGAAGGAUUGCUAUGGCCUUCUGAUUUCCGUAUUAGGAGAAAAAUACGGAGAUGUCUCAAGAAAAGUAACAUUCGUAGAGAUCAAGCACUUAUUGAUAGAGGGAUAAAAGCCAUAUGUAACCUUUUUGUAGACUAGAAUACCCGAGAAAGACACAUUUAAAGGUCUUGUGCUGAAGUUAUCAAUUAAAGUAACAAAAUAAUGAAAGCCUAAGGAAAAAUCACAGGACUUGCACCCCAUAUAUUUGAAUGAACGAUUUCAAACAUAGAGGUGGUCCGUUUAUUGACGCGUUUUGGGAAAGAGGCACGAGUGUGCUUACCAAGCUAACACGACUAACAUUUUAACGAAGAUAAACUAGAUAAACUUGGGACCAUCUUUUGCAAUUUCAAGAGACUUGGAUAACCCAAUUGACUAUGGAGCAAUUCAGAAGAAACAACAUAUAGUGUUGGGAUAGAGAGCAGGUACAAUCCCUGUGACUCAUGUCCUUUUCCAAUCACCUGUCCCGUACUCUAAUGUCUAAUCCUACACAAGAACAGAAUCAUCAAAGAAGGUUACAACACAUUUCAGGUUUUCUAUUAAUUUGCUAAUAGAAAUAAGAUUAUAUGGACAUUCAGGUGCAAAAAGGACUGAUUUUAAAGGUAUGGAAUGAUUUUUAGAAUAUAAUUAAAUAAUAAAAGUGUGCUAUCUCUAACAAGUUAAAACUUUUUAUUUUGAUAACCGAGAAAUCCGUCUCUGACCCACCCUUUUGACCAAUCACAACCUUCUAAACUCGGUGGAUGAUGGGCCUGCCCCUCUACCCUUCUCCACUUAAUAUUGGGCUUCACUUUGCAUGGUGUGGGCUUGAACUUGCUACCUAAGCCACAAAUCCUCCACCCUUUGCCACUCGAGCUAGGCCUUGGGGGCUAACAGCUUAAACUUUUAGAUGAGAUGGUCACACACUUCAAUAGUUUCAUUAUGCACCAUAGCUCCAUCUUAUGGAACAAUUUUAGCUCUGAAAGAUGUUUCUUAGAGGACAUCUCAGUAAUAUAUAACUAAGGUUUAUUUAUUUCUGAAUAACUUUAGGUAUGUGGUGCUUAAAUUAUAUAUGACUAAAGUUUAGCUUUACUUAAGUUUAAGCCAAAAUGAUUCAGUUAAUUCUUAUGAUUAAAAUUCAGAUGAAAAUGAAUGUACUUCAAUUAUAUCUAACUUCAACUUUGAACUUAUGCAUUCUAAAAUUAUUUUAUUAAAUGAACAAAUUUAUAAUUUUUUACAUGUUAUGAAUAUAACUUAAAUGAUAAUUCUAUAUUGGGCAUCAUAGCAUAUGGAGAUUAAUGCAAUGUGCAUCCAUAAAAUGUGUUUAGAUAUGAGUUGCCUAAUGUAUAUGUCAACUAUGGUUGUUAUUGACAUGUUUGCACAUUUGUUUGCUGAUACCUGAUUACUAUUUUCUGAUGAGUAUUAGCAAUUUCGUUGCAAUUGAAGUAGCCUUAUUUUUGUUGAGAAUACAAUUUAAGUAAUUAAAAUGUGCUUCAAAAAGCUUAUGUUUUUAGAUGAGAUGGUCAUGAGACGGUUACACACUUUAACAACUUUCAUAAGAGGUAAACUUUUAGAUUAUUUAAAUGAAUUUGUGUUUUCAAGUAAGAGCAGGAUUUAACCUACCUGGUCUUUGCCCAAAGUUCCUGAGGUUUUUCAUUUCCAAAAGUUUAUAGACUAAGCUAUUAGUAAUAAAAAUGGCUGAAAUUUGGAUGUUCAUUGGAAAUAAGAAUUGAAUCUGUAUCUAUAACAAAGACAAUGCGGAAGAAUCAAUAAUAUUCCACCUUGGAACUUAAAUACGGUGUUUUCCUGAAAUCGGUAACCUUUUCAACCUAUUCCUUUAAACUUAUUUGUAUUGCAUCAAAGGUCUUUUCCUCGCACGAGCAUUUUGAAGAUCAUUGUGCAAGAAAAACUGGAGUCACCUUUCUAUUUCCCCAAGCCAGCCUAGCCUGUAAAUAUGUAUUCCCAAGCUGUUGCUUCUAUCCAGCAAAAUUUCUUACUUUGUAUCUUUUUCCAACUAGAAUAAGGAAAAAAACAUUCUGACACACUUUUGUAGUCCAGUUCUCUGUAUCUGGAUUCGGACAGUUCAAUUACAUAGGCUAACAAGUUUCAGUGCUGCAAGUUUAGUUGUUGAAUGUUUUGAUUCAUUGUCCCUAUACUAAGGCCAUCAAAUUUGAAUUUUCAAAAGAUGCAAGAUGGAGAAGCAUAUGUUGCAUCAUGAAAUUCACAAAAACAACGUUAUGUUGGUAUUAGAACUUACAGCUCUCACUUAAUUCUUGCUUUGGCAGAAUACUAUUACUUGAUGAAAUAUUCUGUAUGCAGGCUGAGCUAGUAUGGAUUCAUUGCAGGGAAGAGUUAGAAGAGGGUACUGAAGCUGCAAAAUUUCUGGAAUAUUAUAUUCAACAGAUAGCAACAGGAAGUUAUAGUUACUUAAAACAGGAUAUAGCUUUGUUGCGAAAAAGAACCUUACAAAAGGCUAUUGAAGAUUUGCCUCCUCGAAAAUAAGCAGAUUUUGUUGAAGUGCUUAAGUAGGAAAAAUGUUCCAAUUCAUGUUUCUGAAAGCUUUUGAUGCAUUCAGUACUUGCUUACGAAGAGCUUUUUUCACAAUUGUCAAGCGUUCCCAGGAGGUACCUAAGAAAAAGAAGAAGCCAUUUUUGCGAAAAAAAGAAGGCUCUGAGAACAAGAAAGAAACCAUUUUUGCCAAAUAAACGUGCUCCAGUUUCAUCCCUCGCUCCAUCUCCAAUCCCUGCAACUGUUCAGUCUCCCACUCCCUCUCCAGGUCCUGCAGCAGUUCCAACCCUUGCUCCAUCUCCAGGUCCUGCAACUGUAUCACCAGUUUAUGCUCCAGUUCCUUCUAUUGAAGUGCCCACUAGCUCUCCUCCAGCUGUGCUGCCUCCUUCUCCAGUUGUAAAACCUCCUGCAAAGCCUCCAAAACUUCUAACUCACACCAAUUCUUCUAAACCUUUGCCUGUUAAUCCUCCAGAUAAACCACAAAAUGGUCCUAAUUCUGCGGGAAAUAAUCAAGAGCAUCGAAAUUAUUUAAUUGCUGCAGUGGCUGGAUGUUCGGUUGCAGGAAUUGCCUUUUUAGCUCUGUUGAUAUUCUGUGUUAAUAAUAAAAGGAAAGAAAUAGCUCCAAAUGAAUGGGAAACCGCCUCUGAAUUCAAAUGCAGGUGUCUAUUUGCUGCUAUUUAUCAUGAUGGUUAAUUAAUCUCAUUGUAUCAUUACAUUUCAUUAAUUUGUAUGAUUUGUAUUGUCAGGUUCUUCUCUAAAUGUCAAGAGUGCAUCUGCUGUAAAUGAUGCUGAUCCUCAUAAAUCUUCUGAAGCCGACGUGGAACUGUCAAAACCUGAUAUGAAUGCAAAUGCUCAUGCACCAAUACCACUUCCUCCUGGAAAAUCUGCACCUCCACCUCCUGGUCCCUCCUGGUUCUCCUCCUCCUAAACCACCUGUUCCGAGCCGACCUCCACCUCCAAAAUUUUGCCCUCCUAAUCCACCACAACCUGGUAAUUUGCCAAAGCCUUUACCUCUUGGAGCACAUCAGAGAAGAUGUUCUUCUGAGACCGGGGGAAGUGACUCAUUGGGUGAAUCUGACGCUUCCUAAAGCAAAAUUAAAACCAUUCUUUUGGGACAAGGUUCUUGCUAACCCUGAACACCUAUGGUUUGGCUUGAAAUAAAAGCCAGCUUGUUCCAGUAAGCUUCGCACUGAUCUUGCUAUUCACUUUGCUCCUGCGAGAGUUUAACUGUUUCUGUUUUUAUCUUUCUGAUUGCUGAAUUUUAUAACAGGUUUAAUGAGGAGAUGAUGGAUUCUUUGUUUGGAUAUUUACCAGGAGACCAAGGGAAAAAUGAUCGAAGAAAAGCUUCCUCAUCCUUUGAUCAAACCUCACAGUACAUUGAGAUUAUUGAUCUUAAGAAAUCACGAAAUCUAGCAAUUCUCCUCAAAGUCUUAAAUGCGACAACAGAAGAAGUUUAUGAUGCUCUCGAGGAGGGUAAAUCUCUCUCUCUCUCUCUCUCCCUCCUUAUGGUGGCUUUAUGAAUCCUGUUAGAAAUUCCAUUUUGUUCCAUUUCACUCCAGUACUUAAUAUUUUAUCCUAAAGGACGGUUUUUGGAUUAUCUAAUACUAGAGGACCGUCCGUCUCACAUUGACCCUACGUGAUAUCUAUGUCUCUAAUAAAACUAAUAGGCUCUUGGCAACCACCUGAGUAAAUAUAGCAUCAAUAUGAUCCCGACUAGUUGGUAUCAUGUAUACACUAUACGUAUGAUUUGAUUCAUUUUGUUCUUGUUAGAAUAGGAAUAAGUAAUACAAUCCUCCUUAGAAUAGGAAUACAAAUAGGAAUAGGAAUAAGAAUCCUAAUCGUUGAAAGAGUCUAAUGUAGUGUCUAUAAAUAGAGUCUCAAUGUUAUAAUGUAGAUACACAAUUCAGUAAAUUCUAUUUCUCACAUGGUAUUAGAGCAUUGGUGAGAAACUUUAAGUCAGCGUGUCAAAUUCCGGCGACAGUUGAGGCUGAUUUGUGUCAUCUUUAGUUCUAAAGGUGUUGUGCGAAAAUCAACACCAUCACGAGGCUCGAGAAGCUCAAGCGACCAAACCCCAGCCAGAACCAUCGGAAAACAACCCCUCACGCGUUCUCACAUGCCGUUCGAAGGUGGAAGUUUUCCGGCGCGAUCUGAAUCACACACCGGCGGAGGGCUGCUCCGGUCAUUUAUUUCGAGUUGUUUUUCUUCUGUUGGGGUCAUCCAGUAUUUCCGAUCAAAACCCAUCCAGUUUUCUUCGGAUCUGAUAACUGGAAUUAGGUUUUCCGGCGAUUUCCAGGCUGUUUCUGGCAAGCUCCUGGUGAAAUCGGAAUUUUUCAGAACUUACAGGCACUAUAGGCAGACUCUAGCAGUUUCCAGCAAUUCAAGUCUCUUACUAUUUUUAAGUCAAAUUUAGAAAAAUGUCUUUUGGGUGUGAUGUUUUUGGCUUAAAAAAUAUGGGUAUUGGAAGUUCAAGCCCUAUAACUACUUCAGAACCCUUAAUGGUAAGUUCAAACUAUUUGGCUUGGGCUUCCUCAGUUGAGUCGUGGUGCAGGGGUCAAGGUGUUCAAGAUCACUUAACAAACAAUGCUUGUGUGGUAGAUGGAAAGACAAUCUAGUGAUGAAGAUGCAAAAGUCAAAGCAUAAUGGGAGAAAAUGGAUGAUCAAUUAUGUAGUAUGACUCUCUAUUGUUUCAAAGUUGAUUCCCUUGUUUCACCCAUUCGAGACAUGUUAUUCAGUUUGGGGAAAAGCACGUGCUUUAUACACUAAUGACAUAUCUAGAUCUAUGAUGUGAUAUCUUGAAUGACCAACUUAAAGAAACAAGAAUCUUAUAUGUUUACUUACUUAGGACAGGUACAAGCAGUCAUGGAGGAAUUUGAAACGUUGAGGCUAGUCACUACAAACGUGGAAAAGCAGCAAGAGCAUAGACAUACAUUAUUUCUAUAUCUUACACUCGUUGGACUCCCUACUGACCACAAUUCUGUGCGUGACUAGAUUCUAGCUAGUCCUAUCGUUCCUACAAUUGAUGAAUUAUUCCCUUGUCUACUUCGUCUUGUUGCGUCUCCUAGUCACAAAAUAGUUUAAUCACCCACUAUUGACUCCUCUAUUCUCGCAUCUCAAACCAUAGAAAAAUGAACAUAUUAGUCUAUGGACAAUCGGCGAGGAGGAGGACGUUUUGGGAAACCUUGAUCCUAGUGUAGUUAUUUUCAUGAACUUGGACACACUCAUGACAUAUGUUAUACUUUGGAUGGUCCACCACCCAGCUAUGAUCCCAUUACUCUCAAGGAAUAUGAUGAGCUCUUUCAAAAUUGAGAAGGUAAGCACAUAUCUCCUAAAGUAUCAUUUGUUGCUUAGCUUGAUCGACUAUCCAAUAAUGCUCAUAUUGCUCAGACAAAAUGUAAUGCGUUCUUUCAAUAUCGAGCAAGUAAGCAGACACCUCCGCUAGUGGCUUCGGUUGCUCAACCUAAUCUUUCUGUUGUGGGUAAUUCUUUUGCUUGAGUUUCACAAUCUAGUUCUCUUGGAUUAGGGGUAAUGGACUCGGGCGCUUCGAAUCAUAUUUCUGGUAACAAAUCACUUUUGUCUGAUAUUAUUUAUUCACAAUCUCUUCCUCCUAUUACUUUAGCCAAUGGGAUCCAAACAAAACCAAAAGGGGUUUCAAAAGCCAAACCCCUAUCUUCUGUCACUCUCGACUAUGUUCUUUAUAUCCCUGGUUCUCUUUUAAUCUGGCAUCUGUUAGUCGUUUGACACGUGCCCAACAUUGUGGCAUAACAUUUUUUGAUGAUUUUUCUCUCUUGCAGGACCACAGUACGAGAUAGAUGAUAGGCAGAUUGAACUAUUUUUUAGGUUUUGAGAUUGCUCAGUCUAGAUUAGGUAUUGUUAUUUCUCAAUACAAGUAUGCCUUAGACAUUCUUGAAGAGCCUAAAUGAUGGGAUGUAGAUCCAUUGACACUCCUAUGGAUCCAAAUGUUAAAUUCCUUCUAGGACAGUGGGAGCCACUUAGUAAUCCUGAAAGUUAUAAACGACUUGUUGGAAAGUUGAAUUAUCUUACAGUGACUAGACCUGACAUUUCUUUCCUUGUGAGUGUUGUAAGUCAGUUUAUGACUUCCCCUUGUGAUAGUCAUUGGGAUGUAGUUGUUCGUGUUUUGCGAUAUAUGAAAUCUGCUCCUGGUAAAGAACUACUCUUCGAGGAUCAAGGCCAUGAGCAUAUCACUGGAUAUACAUACGCUGAUUGGUCAAGAUCACCCUCUCAUAGACGUUCGACAUCUGGAUAUUGUGUUUUAGUAAGAGGUAAUUUGGUGUCGUGGAAGAGUAAGAAACAAAGUGUGGUCUCGAUCUAGUACAGAAUCAGAAUAUCAAGCAAUGGUUGCAACAACUUGUGAGCUAGUUUGGAUCAAACAGUUGCUGAGAGAGCUAAAAUUUGGCGAAAUCAGUUAGAUGCAACUUGUGUGUGAUAAUCAAGCAUCCUUUCAUAUCACAUCAAAUCCAGUGUUUCAUGGAAGGACCAAGUAUAUUGAGAUUGACUGUCACUUUGUCAAAGAAAAGAUACUCUUAGGAGAUAUUGGUACGAAAUUUUUGAAGUCAAAUGAUUAGCUUGUAGAUAUCUUCACUAAGUCCCUCACCGAUCUUCGUAUUAAUUAUAUCUGAAACAAGCUAGGUACAUAUGAUUUGUAUGCACCAGCUUGAGAGCGAGUGUUAGAAUAGGAAUAAGUAAUACAAUCCUAUUUAGAAUAGGAAUCUUAAUUGUUAAAUGAGUCUAAUGUAGUGUCUAUAAAUAGAGUCUCAAUGUAAUAAUGUAGAUACACAAUUCAAUAAUAUUCUAUUUCUCACAUGAUAUUAGAGCAUUGGUGAGAAACGUCAAGUCAUCGUGUCAAAUUUUGGCGACAGUUGGGGCUGAUUUGUGUCAUCUUUCAUUCUAAAGGCGUUGUGCAAAAACCAACACCAUCACGAGGCUCGGGAAUCUCAGGCGACCAAACCCCAGCAAAUACAAACUUAAACAUAUAUUAACAUACAAAGUUCAAUUUUAUUUUCAAUAUCAAAAUAAUAAUACUUGAAAAAUAAUAUUAACAAAUAUUACUUAAACAUAUAUUGACAUAUAAAAGGUCAAAACAUGUAUCUUGUUUGGACCAAAAGAAUUAACAUAUAUAAAAUAAUUUUACUUUCAAAAUUCGAACACUAUAAUAUUUUGAAAAUAAUGUUAACAGAUAUUAUUUAUUUUAUUUUUUUUUAUUUUUUUUUAUUUUUUUUUAUUUUUUUUUAUUUUUUUUUAUUUUUUUUUAUUUUUUUUUAUUUUUUUUUAUUUUUUUUUAUUUUUUUUUAUUUUUUUUUAUUUUUUUUUAUUUUUUUUUAUUUUUUUUUAUUUUUUUUUAUUUUUUUUUAUUUUUUUUUAUUUUUUUUUAUUUUUUUUUAUUUUUUUUUAUUUUUUUUUAUUUUUUUUUAUUUUUUUUUGAUAACCAAGAAAUUCAUCUAUGACCCGCUCUUUGGACCAAUCACAGCCUUCUAAACUCGGUGAUAAUGGGCCCGCCCCUCUACCCUUCUCCACUUAAAUACCAGGCUUCGCUUUGCUUGGUGUGGGGCUUGAACCUACGACCUAAGCCACAAAUCCUCCACCUUUUGCCACUCGAGCUAGUCGUUGGGGGCUAUUUAUGUAUAUCUUGUAUAUGUUAUUUGUAUGUACAUAUUUUUUUUUGAGUAGCGACUCAUUUUUUUAAUUUGACAAGAACUAAACAACUGGUUCUAUUAAAUGUAGAUGUCAAUGCUACUAUUAUAAAUUAAAAGAACAGGAAAUCCAAACUGUGAAUCCAAUCUGGCCCAUUUAGCCCGUUAACUACACUAACAAAGGUAUGAUUCUAAGACGAACAUCCUUUCCCCCGGCCCCAUUCGCACCCCUUAACAUUAGCUACGGUUAGCUCGAGUACAAUGUGACCACAUUUUUGUGAAUCAGAUUGUCCCAGCUUGACUGGAUGAUAUCCUUACUUCAAUGUUCGAACUAUAAGAAUUAAUAAUUUCAUUUAUGACCAAUAAAAGUUAUGGAAUAGACAUUUAUAUUCAAAAUAUACGUAAUCUAAGAAUAUGGUAAGUAAUUUUAUUAAAUUUUCUAUUUAUUGAUACAACUUCUUCUGCAAUCUCGGGCUUCUUCCUCCCUUUCUCUUUCUAGGUUUCUUGCCGCCUCUUUGCUGCUGGUUUCGAUGGGGCAACAACUUUUGCAUAAACAUAAGGAAGAAGAAAAACAGGUUGCUGUAAAAGAGGUGGUUAAGGAGGAUAUAGUUAAGGAUGAUCAACAGGAUUUCCAGUCCAAAUAUCCACGUUUGGCUGCAUCUAUGGCUGGCAUGUCUACAAUGUAUCCGAAUGGAACAAGUUUUUUGAAGGAGAAGAUGAGUUUGAUUGCUACUGACAAGGCUAAAGUGUUGGAGGAGAAGUGGAAGAAACUGGAGGAUGACGAAGCUGCCUUGAUGGUGAAGCGCUUAGAUUUGAUUGCGGAGCAUUACAGAUUGGUGGUUGAUGCAAUGAGAGGUAACUAGAUGCUGGUGGAUCAUUUUCUAUUGGAUGCUACAAGUUUUGAUACUGUUUCGGUUGAGUCUUAGAUUUUGUUUCAUAUAUUCUUGUUUCUCAAGACAAUUCCUUCUCGCGUUGAUGUACUUAUGUUUAGUCCGCGAGGUAGAUUUAGUUUGUCCGGUUUAUUCCUACAUUUUAUUGCUUAUUUAGUUUUACUAGUGAACUGGUUUGGAUGAUAUCCGCUGUGUUGCUUCUGGUUCAUCCUUUUUAAUAUGUCAUUUCCUAUUCCAGAUGGAAAUAUAUUUAAAUGCUACUUUCUCAGUUUUUGCAGCUUGUGUUGAUUCACUUUGUUCUCAAUUGUUGUUCAUGCCAGCUUAUCAUACCAGUUAAUUGAUUUGGGAGGGGGUGGUGGGUUAGUUACAGUUUCCUCUAGAUAUUUCCUUUGGUAUAGAGUGCAAUGUUGUUUCCUAAUUAGACAGUUGUCCAAUCCUAGAGGUUUUAAGUCCUGCUAUAAAUCUAAAAGAAUUUAAAUUAUGAUUGAAAAUUUUCUUACAGGCACUGCUACUUGGGUGUUUCCUUUAACUGCUUAUUCUCUAUUCUUUCCUAGUGAAGAUAUUCUGCAGCGCAUGAACUCUCAUAGAACCUUUUAUAUGUGUGUGCAUGUCUACACACUUGCAUUUAUCAUCAUUCAAUCAACUAUAUUUCAAUUCUGAAACCGUUGAGGUCAGUUAUUAUAUGAAUUCUCAACAUCCAUUCGUUUUGUUCAGGUUCAUUGCAUUCCUAUACUGAAUAAUUAGGUCUUAAAAGACAAAUUAGGGGUUUCCUAAAUCUCCUACACAUCUCUCUAUGGUAUCUACUGACUAGUUUAAUCUCAAUUGUUUGGCAUAACUCAUGUAGAUCUCUUGGUUUGAUUGUCUUCUGUUUUUAACCAAGUAUACAUGGAUUUCAAAAGACUUUAGGGAUUGAAAACUUUUUCUCCGUGCGACUUAGUUCACCUCUUAAAAAUCUUAGUUAUCGUGUUGUCAAACAUAUAAACCAGUGCAUUUUGGAGGUCUUAACACAUGGGGAAGCCAUCUAACUUUAUCUUCUAUAUGUGCUACCUGCACUCUGCUAGAUGUAGUAAGUACUGACAUUUCCAAUUUACUUGCGUCUAAAAGGGUUGUCCGGUUUUAUAAGCUCAUAAAUCUGUUUUAAUAUCAGUUUUUUGACAGCUUUUAUCUUAUGAACAUGUUGAGCAUCUUAGAAAUGCAAUUUAUUGCCGUAUAAUAGUCUGUUACACAAUCAUUCUAUCCUGAACUAUGUUUUUAUCGCAUGGAACCGUUCUAGGAUUCUAUUCGUUUCAGCCCUCCUUAUUUGGCUCUCUCUGUUGUACCUUUUUCCUGGUAGACUUAGAAUAGAUAUCUAAAUUGUUUAUGUUGAGAAUAUAAUUAAAUGCUAAAAGUGUGCUUUUUCUCUAACAGCUUAAGCUUUUAGAUGUGAUGGUCACACACUUUAAUAUGGUAUCAGAAUAGGCAAAGAUCUUGAGAUUAAAUCUCACCACCACCCAAAAAUCAAAAAGAAUUUUCACGUGCUUGACCCAUGAAAAAAUUAGGCUCGCCCACACGCAUGUGAGGGGGCGUGUUGAGAAUAUAUUUAAAUAAUAAAGAGUUAGAAAUACCAACUGGAUUAGCAAGUUCAUAAGGAGGUUGAGGUUGUCGGGAAUAGACCUUAAGAGUGGGAGAUGGAGGUGGAUUGGAAUAUUUGAAUGGGAAGGACUGUUAUGCCCUUCUUAUUUUCCAUAUUAUGAGAAAAAUACGGAAAAGUCUCGAAAAAAGUAACAUCUGCGAGGUCAAGUACUUAUUGGUAGAGGGAUCAAAGCAUUUGUAACCUUUUUGUAGACGAGAAUACCCUAGAAGGACACAUUUAAAUGCCUUGUGUUGAAGCUUAUCUUUUUCGGGGGUAAUGUUAUGAACAAAAUAGGUGCAACCAAACAAAUGUGGAGGAAGGGGAAAUUUUUUUUGGUCCGAAUAGAGGACUGAGUGAGAACUCUGAUACUGAAGAGCUUUUUUCCCAAUUGUCAAGUGUUCCCAGGAUCAAAAUUAUCAAGGGGAUCGAAAUUAUUUAAUUGCUGCAGUGGCUGGAUGUUCUGUUGCAGGAAUUGCCUUUUUACCUCUGUUGAUAUUCUGUGGUUAAGAAUAAAAGGAAAGAAAUAGCUCCACAUGAUGGGCAAAGGGAUGGGAAACCAUCUCUCAAUUUGAAUGCAGGUGUAUUUGCUCCUAUUUAUCAUGAUGGUUAAUUAAUCUCAUCGUAUCAUUCUUUUUCGGUUUUAAGUCAUUUGUGGUCCCUUAAAGUUAUUCGAAUAAUUCACUUAGACACCUCAACUAGGGCUAGUACCUAUUGAACACUUUUAUCUAUUCAAAACUUGUUCCUAUUAGACACUUUUCGAUAAUAAGUAAAAAAAACAAAAUGUGUGUAAUACACUUGUUGUGAUGUGAUAAAAUGACAAAUUACAAGAUAGCAUGUGGCGUUGGGCCCAACAAUUAUAGAAAAAAAGAAUUUUAUGUUAAAAGAAUGAAAAUUAUUUCAAAUAAAUUUUUCAUCUAUUUUUUUAUUUAAAAAAAUGAGAAGCUCAACCCUACCCCAACCCCCUUUCUUCUUCAUCUUCUUCCUAGCAAUAUUUUCUUUCUCAAACGAUAAAAUUCAAUUUCCUUGCUUAUUGCUUAUAUAAUUAUUUUUUUAUUCUAAUACGUGAGAGAGAUAUUCAAAGAGACUGAUACAAGAGUGGUGAAGAAAGUGAGACUGUCAAUCGUCUUGAAAUCGAUAGCAAAGAGAAAUUGGGAGGACCUAAAUUAAUUUUAUCGAAUCAAUCUAAUAUUAUUUUUGUUAAGUUUAGUGGGUUUACAUUUUAAUUUGAAUGGUAAUAUUUGUUCGAAGGUGACCGAGAUGGACGCCGAUCGGCUAACUUUUUUCAGCUUGAUGUUCUUUUUUUUUCCCUCCAAAUUCAAUUAGCUGAUUCAAUUUUUAUUUUUUAACAAAAUAUCGAAAAGAAAAAGAAAAGCAAAAAACAAAAAACAAAAAAACAAUGAAGUGCACUGUCUUCGUGAGGAAGACAACAUAAAUGGGGUGGGGUGGGGGCUUUUUUUUUAUUCUAUUUUAAGAAUUAGUAUUACUUUUAAAAUUACUUUUUAAAAAAUUAAAUUAUUUAAAUGCCAAGUGACAACCAAAGAAAAAAAAGUAUUAAGUUUUUUUGAAAAAAGUAAAAAUAAAAUAUUAUUUAAGAUUUUUUCACACGCUUAGCGGAAGUGAAAAACACUUAUUUUGCCACAUCAACAUUUUGUGUUUAAUAGAUAUACUUUUUAAACAAUUUAGGUGUUCAACAGGUAAUAAUCAUAUUCAAAAUAUACAUCAUCUAAGAUUAUUAUUUUUUUAUGACAAGGGAAACCCGCAGCCGCUACCCUUUGAGUGCGCACAGGGUAAAACUCCCGCUCCUAUGCAAUAGCUCGUAAACCACAUAGGAGAGGUAACCCGCACUAGGCAAGCCUGGUGCGACGAGCUUGACCCAGAAGGCAAACCACAUCAUCUAAGAAUAUGGUAAGUAAUUUUAUAAAAUUUUCUACUUAUUGAUACGACUUCUUUUGCAAUCUUGGGCUUCUUCUUCCCUUUCACUUUCUGGGUCUCUUGCGGCCUCUUUGAUGUUGGUUUCAAUAGGGCAACAACUUUUGUAAAAGCACGCGGCUUAAUUGUGAAGUCUGAUGAAGAAAAUGAAGGCAAGGAAUGACCUGAUUCAGCUUCGGAUACGGAUUCGGAUCCUGACCCAUUUUCGCUUUUGAAAUCAGAAUUAAGAAGAUUAGGGUUUCUAUGGGGUUUGAACUAAUUUUUGAGUAAUUGGUCUCUUUUCCACAGGAUGGACUAUCUCGAGUUCCUCACCACUUUUCUUAGGUUCAAAACUCUUCGUAACCUCAACAAUCUUUUUAGCUUUGAGAGCUGCUAAACAGCCAGAAAAAUGUGGUCAGAAUUUGGCCAGAAACGUACAAAGACUAUACUAACCUUUUAGUUUAAAAUAAAGAAAAAAUGUAUUAAAGUGUUUGUCAUUUCCUAAAAUUACAAUUCAAGUAGAACACAGAUUCUUAGGCUUAGAUUAUGAAAAGUCGCAUUGGGACACUACUUUUUCUUCAUUCCAACUCAUAAAGCGCAUUCUUAUUCUUACGUAGCAUUAGUACUGCUAAGGGAAUCCUGCUAAUUCUUUUUCCUAUUCUUCUCUACUCGAUCACUUCUCAAAAAAAUAUGAAUACAACUGAAGUUAGGGAGGAAUUGUACAGAUCUUUAGGGAUGGCAUCAGACGAUAGUUUGAUGAACGAAAAUGAAUGGGUGGAUGAUGAUUCAUACUAUAGUUUGAACAAUGAUGUACAUUUAGAUGAGGACGAUGAAGAAGUUGAACAUUUACACUUUAUGUACUAUAAGAAAUAUAUACUUACACCUCCGAAAUUACAUGGGUUUUGAAUAAAAUAAAUAAAAUGUUAUAAAGAGGCAAAAAUAGUAAUAUAAAAUUCUAGGGACUAUGAAAAUUAUUUUGCUUUUUACUUCAUACUCUCAUUCCUGAUCUUAUUAUUUGAUUUCAUAGUAUAAAUUGAGAACACUUGCAUAAAGAACAAAGGCGUCCGAUCACUUUUUAUCCCCUAUAUUAUGUCGAUUUGAUAAAUUGUGAAUCGUUACUUAUAUUUGUUACUAAAAUGAUCUCCAAUUAACUAAUGUUUUAUAAUAAUUAUGUUCAAAUAAAAUUAAAAUUAUAAUAAUUUUUAGAUGUAAUUUAUAAAAUAUUGGGAUAACGACAACUCAAAGCACAUUAGACCUGGUAAAUGUUGAUAGUCAUAGAAAUCAUGUGUAUAGUUCAUUUAUGUCGAACCGAAGAGAGUCAGACAUUAACAGUAUCUAUCGUACAAGUCUUAUCCCCAAUAUUGCGUCGAUUUGAUAAAUUGUGAAUCAAUACUUAUAUUUGUUACUAAAAUGAUCUCCAAAUUAACUAAAUGUUUUAUAAAUAAUUAUGUUCAAAUAAAAUUAAAAUUAUAAUAAUUUUUAGAUGUAAUUUAUAAAAAUAUUGGGAUAACGACAACUCAAAGCACAUUAGACCUGGUAAAUGUUGAUAGUCAUAGAAAUCAUGUGUAUAGUUCAUUUAUGUCGAACCGAAGAGAGUCAGACAUUAACAGUAUCUAUCGUACAAGUCUUAUCCCCAAUAUUGCGUCGAUUUGAUAAAUUGUGAAUCAAUACUUUAUAUUUGUUACUAAAAUGCCUCCAAUUAAGUAAUUUUUUAAUAUUAUGGUUUAAAUAAAAUUAAACUAUAUGUUUAAAUAAAUUUUUUUCUAAUGGUAAUUUUGUUAAAAAUAAUUGUGAUAACGACAACUCAAAAUACAUUAAACCGGAUAAAUGUAGAUAAUUAUAGAAACAAUGCAUAAAAGUUCAUAUGUGUCGAACCAAAGAGAGUCGGACAUUAAUAGUAUUAAUCAUACAAGUAUUUUCUCCUAUAUUACGUCAAAUUGAUAAGUUGUAAAUCAUUACUUAUAUUUGUUACUAAAAUGAUCUCCAAUUAACUAAUGUUUUAUAAUAAUUAUGUUCAAUAAAAUUAAAAUUAUAAUAAUUUUUAGAUGUAAUUUAUAAAAAUAUUGGGAUAACGACAACUCAAAGCACAUUAGACCUGGUAAAUGUUGAUAGUCAUAGAAAUCAUGUGUAUAGUUCAUUUAUGUCGAACCGAAGAGAGUCAGACAUUAACAGUAUCUAUCGUACAAGUCUUAUCCCCAAUAUUGCGUCGAUUUGAUAAAUUGUGAAUCAAUACUUAUAUUUGUUACUAAAAUGAUCUCCAAAUUAACUAAAUGUUUUAUAAAUAAUUAUGUUCAAAUAAAAUUAAAAUUAUAAUAAUUUUUAGAUGUAAUUUAUAAAAAUAUUGGGAUAACGACAACUCAAAGCACAUUAGACCUGGUAAAUGUUGAUAGUCAUAGAAAUCAUGUGUAUAGUUCAUUUAUGUCGAACCGAAGAGAGUCAGACAUUAACAGUAUCUAUCGUACAAGUCUUAUCCCCAAUAUUGCGUCGAUUUGAUAAAUUGUGAAUCAAUACUUAUAUUUGUUACUAAAAUGACCUACAAAUUCCAAUUAACUAUUUUUUUAACUACAAUAUUUGAAUAAAAAAAUUAAUGUUAAAGUAAAUUUAGUUAACACUAAUCUUUUGGCCAUAAUCUGUUGUAAUAUUAGCUANNNNNNNNNNNNNNNNNNNNNNNNNNNNNNNNNNNNUUUUUUUUAUAAUAAUACAACCAAUAAGAAUAUAAUGUGUAAUAUAACGUGAAAUUUUUCUUAUUCUAAUACAAUCAACAAGUAUACAAUGUAAUUCAGAAAAUAUAUUUUUUUACUACUGAUGUUACAAUUUUUAUUGUUUUUUGUAAAACAUAAUUUGAAAACAUUUUUUUUAUAUAGGUUGCAUGAGAUCACUUAAUGUUUUCUUGUUGAAAUUUGUAGUCUUUUUUCAUAAUUGACUAUGGAAUCAUCAUUAAUGUCAUUAAUUAUUUUCAAUAUAUUGAAAACAUAAUGGAAGAUUAUAGAGAUCCCAAGAAUGUAUUCUAUUUUCAAGCGAAAAAAGGGUAAGAUUGUCCAAAAUAAAACUAGUUUAUAGUGUGAACAUGUCCUUUUACUAUUCUGGCCAAAUUAUGGCCAAACUUUUCUGACCAAAAGGAUUUUUCCUUAAUGUUAUUAGUAAGAAUCUCCUUAACUCCAUUACUAGUUCCAAGGGCAACCCAAAUCCUCUUUGAAUGCUCAAAAACUAAAAAAUCUCGACCCUUUGUGAAAACUAGCUCUUCACCAUCUUUCACAUAAGUCAAAAAUUUAUUCUUUUACCUCCUUACCUUGUCACCGAGUUGACUCUUUGAAACUUCAACCUGAACUUCCCCCUUAUGAAUUCAUGAAAAGCAUACAUAUUGACACUAUGUUCCAUACCUUUUACCGCCUUGUAUUCAGUAAUAUCUUUGAGUAGAGCAAGCUAGUCAUCAUCACUCCAUAGACUGGGAGGAGUAGCAACUGAUUUUUUUCUCCUCUUCUUUUGCAAUCAUGGGCUUCUUCCUCCCUCUCUCUGUCUAGGUCUCUUGCGGCCUCUUUGUUGCUCAUUUGGAUGAGGCAAAAACUUUUGCAGGAACACUCGACUUGUCUGUGAAGUUUGAUGCAGAAGAGGAAGACAUGGAAUGACCUGAUUCCGCUUCCGAUUUAGAUCUUGACCCAUUUUUUUAUUCCGGACUCUGAUGAAGAUUGGGGUUUAUGUGGGGUUUUAAUUGGUUUUUGAGUAAUAGGUCUCUUUUCAACUGAGGGGUUGUCUCAGGUUACGGUGUUUCCUCACCAUAUUUAGUACUUGAUAUAUUUUUUUCAAAUUUACAUACAUUUGAUUAAAAAUGACAAAUCACAUUUUGAAAGAAUAUUUAUUUCGAUUAAGAAUCAUGAAUAAGGCAUGAUUAUUCAGUCAUCCUCCGACCAUUCUCAUUCCACAUAAAACUCAUGUGGAAUAGAUGUCCAAAUGGGGGAAAGUAAUUAUCCAAUUGUAUGAAUUGUAUUUUUAACACAUUUAACUUGAAACACCACCCGAAGCAUCAAGCACAAGAUCAUAGAUUAAUUCUAAAGAAUAAAAACUCCAAACGGAUAAGCGGUAGGGAUGGCAAACGGGGCGGGAUGAGGCGGUUGCAGGAAGGAAACAAUAAAGAAAAAUAGGAAGGAAAGAAACUGAGUGUACCUUCGUGAUUUUUUUGGAUGCUAAAAUUCGAUGAGUUGAACAGUAGAGAGAAGAAAUGUGGAUGCUGAAAUUUGACGUGGAAUUUUUCCCUUAAAAGGUCUAUUCUUCUCUCAUGUAUGACAUUAAGGCAGGGGAGCUCAAGCACUUAUGUGGUCUUUCCUCUAGAAAAGUUUGUUCUUCUAAUAAAAAUUUAUAUGCAAAAUUAGUAAUAAUUUUCAUAUUUUUUUUAAAAAAAUUGUAUGAUAUUAUAAUAAAUUCAUUUAAUUAAUAUUUUUUUUAGAAUUGUUGACCUUAGGUAGAUGUUUUUAUUUGAAUUUUUAAUUAUCCAUUUUGUUUUUUUAUAUUCCUAUAUUUUAUUCUCAAUAUUAUCAAGCUAUAUAAAAAAUUAUUAAACUUGACUGCAUUACUUACAUUUUUAUUUACAUAUAAAUAGUGAAAUAGAAAGAAAAAAACACGGAAACAUUACAACAAAAUGAUUAAAUAUAUAAUGAAGAAGGAAUAUUACUCCCUCCAUUCAUUUUUACUUGACUGCAUUACUUACAUUUUUAUUUACAUAGAAAUAAUAAAAAUAGAAAAAAAAAAACACAGAAACAUUACAACAAAACGACUAAAUAAAUAAUGAAGAAGGAAUAUUAGUCUCUCGGUUCACUUUUACUUGUGUUUGGCACACCCAUUUAGGAAAUAAUUAAAAGUGAAAAUCUAUUUUCAUAACUGACAACUAAAAGUGAACGGAUGUAAGUUUUUUUUUCUACAAAUAACAUAUACUCAGCAUUAAUGUGUUAAAAAUACAAUUCGUAUAAUGGUAAGUAUAUGUUAAGACAUUGGUUUUUUUGUAUAAACUAGUUUUUCGACACGUGCGUUGCACGUGAUUAUCAAUUCAGAAUAUUUAAGUGAAGAUUUGAAUAGAAAGUUUUGCACAAAAUAAUAUUGCAGAUUCUUUUGUGAAUGUUCAAUAUGGAUUAUCAUAUAUACCUCUUAUUCACAUGAACCUAUCAAGAUGGUCAAUGUAAAAUUUUAUUAGUUAAAUGCAAUAAUGUAUAUAUUUAUUUCAAUUUUAUGAGGUACAAUCAUGUAACUAGUUGUAUCUCACUAAUAUUACCUUAUAGACGAUAUUUGUUGUGUAUUUUUCUUGUCAUCUUACCAGAUUUGUUUGCACGUGUAUUCCACUUAAUUUGUUUAGAUGUCAUAUGAACAUGAGGAGAACAACUACAUUCUAUUUUUUAGAACUAUUUUUGUAUUUUAUUUUUAAUUUUAUAAGCUAUAACAUAAUAGAUGACGUUCUUUGGGUGGAUCUCUUAUUUGACUUCUCGAUUGACUUUGUACAUAAAUCAAAGAUAGUUAUCUGACUAACUGAGAAAGGUUUCCUUUUUUUUUUACCGAAAAAACUAAAAAAUUAAAUUAAAAAAUAUAUUAUAUCUGUGAAAUCAUAUAUAUAAUCGCUUGUUUAUCUUAAACCCAAAAAAGAUAUAGUCCAUAUACUUGUAAAUAAUUUUCAAUUUAUUCAACUAAGCAUGAUUCGUCCAAGGAAAAAUAAUAACACCGUGUUAUAACAAACAGGGACAAUAUAAUAAUAUGAAAAAUUAUUGGUCAAAAGUAAAUAUAAGGAAAGAUGAACGAUAGAAAUAAUUAAUGUAAUAACUAUGAGAAUUCAUAAUAUUAUAACUAAAGAGUAUAAGAGAGUGUGAAUAACAUUUGCAAUAAUUUGUAAUAAUUAAGAGAGUUUAUAAUGUUAUAACUAAAGAAUUAAUGUGAAAUACAUGAAUUUCUAAUAAAUUUUAUACUUACAUAAAUAAAUAGGAUUUUUAAUUAAUGUUAUUAUCUUUUUUUAUAGGUAUUAGAUUUUAAUUUACUGUAGGGACAAAAUGAAAAUGCUUAUUCCAUAUUACUAAAUAUAAAUUUAUUUUGACAAUGAUAAAUUUUUAAUGAUUCAUAUAUAUUCACAUAUUUUCACAUUUGUUGUGAGUUUUUUUUUUUUUUUUUAAAAAGUAUCGGAAAAUUUUAAAAUAAUAUAUUUUGAAGUUAGAAGAUCUUGUUAACUUGAUAAUACAUUCGUGACAUAUAUAAAUACCUACACACACACACACAUAUAUAUAUAUAUAUAAUAUAUAAAUAUAUAUAUAUAUAUAUCUCAUAAAAAUUAGCUAUUAAAUAAAUAAUAAAAAUUGAACUAAUAUAGACUUCCACUGGCAUUAUUAGAAGUCAUAUGAAUUUUUCUUCAUCGAAAAUACCAAAAUAUUAAGAAAUAGUUAAUUAGUAAAACAAAAGGGCAAUGUUUACAUAGUAAUAACUAUUUUGAAGCAAACUUCUUGGCAAUCUAAAUCACAUAAGUAACAUUGAUAAAUAAAGUCAUUCUUUUGUCUUGAGCAUCAAAAAAAUAAAUCGUGACAAUUCUCUAACUCUUGAGAAGUUUAAUAAUUUUGGGAAAAGAUAUUCAGAAACAUAUAUCUACAUCACAAGAGAAAUUGUUAACAAAAAUAAAUGAAUUUAUACUAUAAUAAAAAUUAAACUAAUACAAACUUCAACUGACGUUAUUACAAGUCAUAUGAACUUUUCUUUGUUGAAAAUACUGAAAUAAUAAGAAAUAAUAAAUCAGUAAAACAAAAAGGCAAUGUUUAUAUAGUAAUAACUAUUUUGAAGCAAACUUCUUGGCAAUCUAAAUCACAUAAGUAACAUUGAUAAAUAAAGUCAUUCUUUUGUCUUGGGCAUCAAAAAAACAAACUAUGACAAUUCUCUAAAUCAUGAGAAGUUUAAUAAUUUUGGAAAAAGAUAUUCAGAAGCAUACAUCUACAUCACUAGAGAAAAUGUUAACAAAAACAAAUGAAUUUAGAUUACAAUAAAAAUUAAACUAAUAAAAAUUUCAACUGGCGUUAUUACAAGUUAUAUAAACUUUUUUUCGUCGAAAAUACUUAAAUAUGAAGAAAUAGUAAAUCAAUUAAACAAAAGGGCAAUGUUUAUAUAGUAAUAAAUAUUUUGAAGCAAACUUCUUGACAAUCUAAAUCACAUAAGUAGCAUUGAUAAGUAAAAUUAUUCUUUUGUAUUGAGCAUCAAAAAACAAAUCGUGACAAUUCUCUAACUCUUGAGAAGUUUAUUAAUUUUUGAAAAAGAUAUUCAUAAGCAUAUAUCUACAUCACAAGAGGAAUUGUUAACAAAAACAAAUAAAUUUAGACUACAUCAACAUUACAUACUAAUGUAUAUAUUAAGCAAAAAAAUAAUUAUUAUAUUAUCAGAAUUAUUUUCAUCAAGUACUCGAGGUUAAUGAAUAUACCCUCUUAGGAUAGAACAAUUUACUUCAUCAGAAUAGUGGUACCUCAUAUUUCACGAAAUUUUGAACUCACUCAACGACAAUAAAUCAAACGAAAUUUUUUAAAAUGCAAGAAGAAGAAGAGUAUAAGAAUAAAAAAAAUUGUGGUUGGAAAAUGAGAGAAAACCCCUCUAUUUAUAGUCAACAAAGAAUAGUAUGAACAAGUAUUUUUUGUAUCUUAUCUGAAAAGUCAUGACCUUUCAAAAAAUUCACAAUCCUUUUGAAAAGUAACAACUUUUUGGAAAAGUCAUAACUAUUUGGAAAAGUUACAACUAUUUGAACGGUCACAAUUCAUCAAAAAAUCACAAUUCUUUGAUAAAAAUCACAAUUAAGUUAGAAAUAUUAUUAGUAAUUUAACAAGAGUUCAUGUUUUUAAGUUAAUAUAGAUAUAUAUAGAUAUAUAAGGCAUAUAAAAACCCUACACAGAGCUUUCAUCUUUUUGUCUUUGCUUCAACACUCACCAUUGACACUGCUGACGGCCGAAUAGCUCUCCCUUCUUGCUUGCAGAAACAAUGGCCCCCAAAACCAAAUCCCGCUUAGUAGACCAGCCUCCUUCUGCAUCGUCCUCUGAAGAACAAGAAGAGGUGGAGGAAUCCCAGGAAGAAGAAGAACAGCAUUCGGGGGAAGAAACUGAAGAGGAUGAAGAACCUAUGAUAGCCCCUCCAGUUGUGAAGAGACCCAUCACUCAGAAACCAGUCCAAACCUCUCAGAAACCCCAAUUUUCUUCUGAGUCUGGCAGCGAGAAUGGGUCAGGUUCUGAAUUGGAAGCGAAAUCGGGUCAUUCCCCGCCUUCCCCUUCUGUAUCAGAUUUCACCAUUAAGCCGAUUGUUUCUGCCAAAGCUUCUUCCCCAUCGAAACCAGCAGGAAAGAGGCCGCAAGAGGCCCAGAAAGAGAAAGGGAGGAAGAAGCCCAAGACUGCAGAAGAAGAGGAUAAAAAAUCAGCUGCUACUCCUCGCAGUCUAUGGAACGAUGACGACCAACUUGCUCUGCUCAAAGGUGUUGCUCAAUACAAGACGGUAAAAGGUAUGGAACCUAAUGCGGAUAUGUCAGCUUUUCAUGAAUUCAUUAGAGGGAAGUUGCUGGUUGAGGUUUCAAAGAGUCAACUCAGUGAAAAGCUAAAGAGGUUAAAGAAGAAAUUUUUGACUAAUGCGAAAGGUGGUGAGGAACCAGUUUUCAUGAAGGGUCAGGAGUUUUUAGUUUUUGAGCAUUCAAAGAGAAUUUGGGGUGCCCCUGAAACUAGUGAUGGAGUUAAGGAAAUUGUUACCAAUAGCACUAAUGGCAAAGCUAAAAAGACUGUUGAGGUUAAGAAGAAUUCUGAACCUAAGAGCAGUGCUAAAGUUAGCAAACCCAAGGAUGAUGAGAAACAUAAGGAAGAAGAGAAUCAGGUUGCUGUAAAAGAGGUGGUUAAGGAGGAUAUAGUUAAGGGUGAUCCACAGGAUUUCCAGUCCGAAUAUCCACGUUUGGCUGCAUCAUUUGAAAGUAUGUCUGGCAUGUUUACAAUGUACCCUAAUGGAACAAGUUUUUUGAAGGAGAAGAUGAGUUUGAUUGCUCCUGACAAGGCUAAACUGCUGGAGGAGAAGUGGAAGAAACUGGAGGAUGAUGAAGCUGCCUUGAUGGUGAAGCGCUUAGAUUUGAUUGCGGAGCAUUACGGAUUGGUGGUUGAUGCAAUGCGAGGUAACUAGAUGCUGAUGGAUCAUGUUUCUAUUCGAUGCUACAAGUUCUGAUACUGUUUUGGUGGAGUUUUGGAUUUUGUUUCAUAUAAUCUUGUUUCUCAAGACAAUUUCUUCUCGCGUUGAUGUACUUAUGUUUAGUCCGCGAGGUAGAUUUAGUUUUUCAGGUUGAUUAAUACAUUUUAUUGCUUAUUUAGUUUUACUAGUGAACUGGUUUGGAUGAUAUCCGCUGUGUCUCUUCUUAUAUAUGUUAGUGUGGUAUGGAGUGAUUGGCUCUUUAAAGGGGUUGCAAUGAAAUGCCUACACAUUCCUAUCAUAUAAUGCCAUGUAUAGUGGAAGCAAGCUUAGGAACAGCUGAAGUGGAAUGUCUGGAGACGUUCUGGUUCAUCCUUUGUAACAAGUCAUUUUCUAUUCCAGAUGGAAAUAUAUUUAAAUGCGAUGAUUCUCAGUUUUUUCAGCUUGUGUUGAUUCACUUUGUUCUCAAUUGUUGUUCAUGCCAGCUUAUCAUACCAGUUAAUUGAUUUGGGGAGGGGGUGGGUUAGUUACAGUUUCCUCUAGAUAUUUCCUUUGGUAUAUUGUGCAAUGUUGUUUCCUGUCUAGACAGUUCUCCAAUCCUAGAGGUUUUAAGUCCAGCUAUAAAUCUAAAAGAACUUAAAUUAUUAUAAGAAAAUUUUCUUACAAGCACUGCUUCUUAGGUGUUUCCUUUAACUGCUGAUUCUCUAUUCUUUCCUAGUGAAGAUAUUCUGCAGCACAUGAAUGCACACACACAUACACCUUUUAUAUGUGUGUGCAUGUCUACACACUUGCAUUUAUCAUCACUCAAUCAACUAUUAUUUCAAUACUGAAACCAUUGAGGUCAGUUAUUAUAUGAAUUCUCAAUAUCCAUUCAUUUUGUUGAGGUCCAUUGCAUUCCUAUACUGAAUGAUUAGGUCUUAAAAGAAAAUUAGGGGUUUCCUAAAUCUCCCACACAUCUCUCUAUGGUUUCUACUGUCUAGUUUAAUCUCAACUGUUUGGCAUAACUCAUGCAGAUUUUUUGGUUUGAUUGUGUUCUGUUUUUAACCAAGUCUACAUGAAUUUCAAAGGACUUAAGGAUUGAAACCAUUUUUCUCCGUGUGACUUAGUGCACCUCUAAAAUCUUAGUUAUCUUGUUGUCAAACCUACAAACCAGUGCAUUUUGGAGGUCUUAACACAUGGGGAAGCCAUCUAACUUUUUCUUCUAUAUGUGCUACCUGCACUCUGUUAGAUUAAUAAGUUCUGACAUUUUCUAAUUUACUUGUGUCUAAAAGAGUCGUCCAAUUUUAUAAGAUCAUAAAUCUGUUUUAAUAUCAGUUCUUUGAAACUUUAUCUUAUGAACAUGUUGAGCAUCUUAGAAAUGCAAUUUACUGUCGUAUAAUAGUUUGUUAUACAAUCUUUCCAUCCUGAACUAUGUUUUUAUUGCAUGGAACCGUUCUAGGAUUCCUUUCGUUUCAGCCCUUCUGAUUUGGCUCUUUCUCUAUCAUACCUUUUUCCUGGUAGACUUAGAUUAGAUAUCUAAAUUUCUAAUCUAAAUUGUUUCUGUUGAGAAUAUAAUUAAAUAAUAAAAGUGCUUUCACUAACAAAUUAAGCUUUUAGAUGAGAUGGUCACACACUUUAAUUCAGUAUCAGAGCAUACCCUGAGAUUGAAACUCACCGCCACCAGGGAAAUAAAAAAGAAGUUCCACGUGCUUGGCCCAUGAAAAAUUCAGGCUCGCCCCCACGUGAGUGGGCUUGUUAAAAAUAUAAUUAAAUAAUAAAAUGUGCUUUGUUGGAAUUGGAAGGACUUCUAUGACCUUUUCAUUUUUCGUAUCAGGAGAAAAAUAUGGAGAAGUCUCGAAAAAAGUAACAUAUGCAGAGAUCAAGUACUUACUGGUAGAGGGAUUGAAGCAUUUAGUAUCUUUUUGUAGACGAGAAUACCUAAGAAAGACAUAUUUAAAUGCCUUGUGCUUUGUUUAUCUUUUUCGGGGGUAAAGUUAUGAACGAAACAGGUGCAACCUAACAAAUGUGGAGGAACGGGAAACAAAUUUUGGUCCGGAUAGAGGACUGAGUGAGGACUUGGGUACUCCAAAAUAGAUGAAGGCAUGCGAUUGAUUAAAUAACAAGCAGUUAUUAUGACAUCACCCCAAAAACGUAAAAAGACAUGAGUGUGAAUGGGCAUUGUUCGGGCUGUUUCAAUUAGAUGUUUGUUCUUUCGCUUAGCAACUCUAUUUUGUUGAGGAGUUUGUGCACAAGAAGACAAUUGCAAUAUGCCAUGGGAUGACAAUAAAGAAGUGAGAGAAGUAUUCUCGGGUAUUAUCAUUGAUUAACUUCUUAAUGGAAAUACCAAAUUGAUUGCGAAUUUCAGCAUUGAAUUUCCGAUAGAUAGAGAAUAGUUCAAAUCUACUUUUCAUUAAUAAUAACCACGUGCACUGGGAAUAAUCAUCAAUAAAAGUAACAAAAGAAUAAAAGCCUUAGGAAAAACUAACACGAUUUGGACCCCAUAAUUUGAAUGAACGAUUUCAAACAUAGAAGUAGCCUUGUUAUCAACGCGUUUUAGGAAAGAGGCAUGAGUGUGCUUACCAAGCAGACACGACUCACAUACUAACAAUGAUAAACUAGAUAAACUCCAACCAUCUUUUGCAAUUUUAGGAGACUUGGAUGACCAAUUUGACUAUAGAGCAAUACAGAAGAAACAACGGAAGUAAAAGCAACAUGCGGUGUUGGGAUAGAGAGCAGUUACAAUCCAUAUGACUCAUGUCCUUCUCCAAUCACCUGUCCCGUACUCCGAUCCUGCACAAGAACAUAAUCAUCAAAGAAGGUUACAACACAUUUAGUGUUUUUUUGUUUAUUUGCUAAUGGAAAUAAGAUUAUAUGGACAUUCAGGUGCAAAAAAGACUGACUUUAAAGGUAUGGGAUGAUUUUGAGAAUAUAAUUAAAUAUUAAGAGUGUGUUCUCUAACAACUUAAGCUUUUAAAUGAGAUAAUCACACACUUCAAUACUUUCAUUAUGCACCAUAGUUCCAUCUUAUAGAACAAUUUUAGCUCUGAAAGAUGUUUCUCGGAGGACAUCUCAAUAAUAUAUAACUAAAGUUUAUCUAUUUCUGAAUAACUUUAGGUAUGUGGUGCCUAAAUUAUAUAUGACUAAAGUUUAGCAAAAAUGUUCAGUUUAUUCAUAUGAUUCAAAUUCAGACGAAAAUGAAUGUACUUCAAUAAUAUGUAACUUCAACUUUGAAGUUUGCAUUCUAAAAUUAUUCUAAAUGAACAAAUUUAUAAUAUUUUACGUGUUUUGAAUAUAACUUAAAUGAUAAUACUAAAAUUGGGCAUCAUAGCAUAUGGAGAUGAAUGCAAUGUGCAUCCAUAAAAUGUGUUUAGAUAUGAGUUGCCUAAUUUAUAUGUCAACUAUGGUUGUUAUUGGCAUGUCUAUGCAUUUGUUUGCUGAUACCUGAUUACUAUUUUCCAAUGAGUAUUAGCAAUUUCGUUAUAGUUGGUUAAAACAGGAUAUAGCUUUGUUGAGAAAUAGAACCUUACAAAAGGAUAUUGAAGAUUUGCCUCCCCGAGAGAAGCAGAUUUUAUUGCAGUGCUUAAGAAGGAAAAAUGUUCCAAUUCAUGUUUCUGAAAGUGACGAUGCAUGCAGUACUUGGUUUAGCAAGUACGAAGAGCUUUUUUCACAAUUGUCAAGCAUUCCUAGGAGGUACCUAAGAAAGAGAAAGAAUCCAUUUUUGCCGAAAUAACAGGUCUGAGAAAAAGAAAGAAACCACUUUUGCCCAAAAAACUUGCUCCAGUUCCACCCCUCGCUCCAUCUCCAAUCCCCGCAACUGUUCAGUCUCCCGCUUCCUCUCCCUCUCCAGGUCCUAAAGCAGUUCUCACCCUCGCUCCAUCUCCAGGUGCUUCAACUGUAUCACUAGUUUAUGCUCCAGUUCCUUCUAUUGAAGUGCCCACUAGCUCUCCUCUAGCUGUGCAACCUCCUUCUCCAGUUCUAAAACCUCUUGCAAAGCCUCCAAAACUUUGAACUCAUACCAAUUCUUCUAAACCUUUGCCUGUUAAUCCUCCAGAUAAACCACAAAAUGGUCCUAAUUCUCCAGGAAAUAAUCAGGGGCAUCAAAAUUAUUUAAUUUCUGCAGUGGCUGGAUGUUCUGUUGCAGGAAUUGCCUUUUUUACCUCUGUUGAUAUUCUGUGGUUAAGAAUAAAAGGAAAGAAAUAGCUCCAAAUGAUUGGCAAAGGGAUGGGAAACCGUCUCUGAAUUUGAAUGCAGGUGUCUAUUUGCUGUUAUUUAUCAUGAUGGCUAAUUAAUCUUAUUGUAUCAUUCUUUUUCAGUACAUUUCAGUAAUUUUUAUGAUUUGUAUUGUCAAUGUCAAGAGUGCAUUUGCUGUAAAAUGAUGCUGAUCCUCAUAAGAUGCGGAACUGUCAAAACCUGAGAUGAGUGCAAAUGCUCAUGCACCAUUACCGCUUCCUCUAGGAAAUCUGCUCCUCCACCUCCUCCUCCUAUACCACCUGCUCUGAGCCCACCUCCACUUCCAAAAGUUCGCCCUCCUAAUCCACCAAAACCUGGUAAUUUGUACGCCUUUGCCUCUUGGAGUAUUAACUAUCUUUAUUUAUCCGUUUUUACUAGUUGUUAUAGGUUGACUAAGUAUCCUGAUGGUUGGAGCAUAUUUAGGAAUUGGUAGUUGUUAGCUUCAGUUAGUUGUAGAUAGUGGCCUGCACUUUAGGUCCAGUUAGUUGUAUAUUUUGUAAUUAAAGGCUUGCUUCCAGAUUUAAUACUAUUAUCUUUUUGACCUUCUCAUCUGAAUCUUCAUAUGGUAUCAAAGCGAGAACGAACCUCCUGCAAGUAUUCUGCAAUGGUUUUAGAAGUCUGCUUGGUAUUUUGCAAUUGAUCUCGCAAGCUAAGAUACAAGUAUGACUUUUGUUGGCGUAAGCUGUGUGAAGGAAUUCCCACACUUUGUUAGCAGAUGGUGCUGCGGCAACAGUUGGUGCAAUAGUAGGAUCGACCGACACCAUCAUUGCUUGUUGGAUCAAUUAAUCUUGAGAGAACCAAAUCUAAUAAUUGGGAUUUGGUACAGUAAGAUUAUUUUGGGUACUAGUAGGGGAUGGAGCUGUUGUGGUUCCAUCAAGAUGUCCUAUGAGUUGAUGCCCAUUUAGUAGCAUCACAAGUUGUGCUUUCCAUGUUGAAAAAUUGAGGUUAACUUGUAUCUUGAGAGGUAACUGAGCAAUGGGAUUAAAUUCCACCACAUGAGUAGUGGCAGAAACUGCAGAACUGACUGGAGCCAUAGAUGAGAAACCUUUAAAAGAAUGAGAUGGAUCUAACUCAGUGGAGCUUAUGUUGCUCUGAUACCAUAUGAAGAUUCAUAUGAGAAGGUCAAAAAGAUUCAACUUGAUGUCAAUAAUGCUUUCCUACACGGAAAAUUGGAUGAAGAAGUUUUUAUGUCUCAACCCCGAGGCUUUAUUAAUCCCCAAUUUCCAACUCAUGUCUGCAAACUGAAGAAGGCUAUCUAUGGCCUCAAACAAGCCCACCGAGCUUGGUAUAAUUCUCUGCGUGAACAUCUGCUGAAAAUGCACUUUGUCAGAACAGAAUCUGACACCUCUUUAUUUGUAUGGAAGCAUCUGGAUGUAACCAUUUAUGUGUUUGUCUACGUUGAUGACAUCAUAAUCUCUGGAGACCGUCCACAAGUGACUAAAUUCGUCAUCAAUUCCUUGGCAAAAAGAUUUUCAUUGAAGGAUCUUGGAUAUCUAAACUACUUCUUGGGUGUUGAUGUUAAGCAAGUACCAGAUGGCCUCAUUCUUUCUCAAUAAAAAUACAUACUGGAAGUUCUUUCUGAACUGGACAUGGACAAUUGUAAAGGUGUUUCCACUCCCAUGUGUUCCAGUGUACAACUUUGAGUAGCUGAUGCUUGGCCACCUACGGAUGCUACGCGCUAUAGGCGCACCCUUAGAAAAUUGCAGUACUUGUCCCUCACUCGGCCUGACAUAUCUUAUGCAGCCAAUAAAUUGUCGCAGUUUAUGCAUACUCCUGGAAAGCAGUUAAAAGAGUACUACGGUAUCUCCAUGGAAUUGCAAGCUCGGGACUUCACCUCGUUCGUAGCUCUAACUCCAAUUUGUAUACGUAUGCUGAUGCUGACUGGGCUGGCGAUCCGAAUGACAGAAUCUCUACAUCAGGUUACAUACUUUUCUUUGGACCAAAUCCAGUUAGUUGGUCAUCAAGAAAGCAACGUGCAGUGGCUCGCUCGUCUACUUAGACAGAGUACGAAUCAGUCGCCAAUGCACUUGCAGAGAUCACAUGGGUGCGAAACUUACUUCAUGAAUUACAUGUCACCAUCUCGAAGACAUCAACAAUCUACUAUGACUAUGUCCAGUGUUCCAUACCCAUAUGAAACACGUUGCUGUAGAUUUUCCAUAUGUUCGUGACCAGGUUCAAGCUCAUCGAGUUCAUGUUACUCAUACUCAUGCUUGUGAUCAACUUGUUGAUACCUUCACCAAGCCACUGCCUAAAUCAGCCUUUACUAGGUGUCGUUCCAAGUUAGCCAUUGUUGCACCUUGCCUAACUUGAGGGGGUGUAUUAACUAUUUUUAUUUUUAUCUGUUGUUACUAGUUGUUAUUAUAGGUUGACUAAGUCUCCUGAUGGUUGGAGCAUAUUUAGGAAUAGGUAGUUGUUAGCUUCAGUUAUUUGUAGAUAAUGUGCAGCUAGUGGCCUGCACUUUAGGUCCAGUUAGCUGUAUAUUUUGUAUUUAAAGGCUUGCUGCCAGAUUUAAUACAAUUAGCUUUUUGACCUUCCCAUCUGAAUCUUCAUAUGGAGCACAUCAGAGACGACGUUCUUCUGAGUCCGGGGGAAGUGACUCAUUGGGUGAAUCUGAUGCUCCUAAAACAAAAUUAAAACCACUCUUUUGAGACAAGUUUCUUGCUAACCCUGACCACUCUUUGGUUUGGCAUGAAAUAAAAGCCGGCUCGUUCCAGUAAGCUUCGCACUUAUCCUGCUAUUCACUUUGCUCCUGUGAGAGUUUAACUGUUUCUGUUUUUACCAUUCUGAUUGCUGAAUUGUAUUACAGGUUUAAUGAGGAGAUGAUGGAUUCUUUGUUUGGAUACAUACCAGGAGACCAAGGGAAAGAUGAUCGAAGAAAAGCUUCCUCAUUCUUUGACCAAACAUCACAGUGUAUUCAGAUUAUUGAUCAUAAGAAAUCACAAAAUCUAGCAAUUCUUCUCAAAGCCUCAAAUGUGACAACAGAGAAGAAGUUUAUGAUGCUCUCGAAGAAGGUAAAUCUCCCCCCACCAUGGUGGCUGUAGCCUGUAUGAAUCCUCUUUGAAAUUCCAUUCGAUUUGGUCCAUUUCAUUCCAGUACUAUAUAUUUUAUCUUAAAGGACAGUUUUUGGAUUAUCCAAUACAAGAGGACUGCCCAUCUCACAUUGAUCCCUACGCUGAUAUAUAUGCCUCUUAACAAAACUAAUAGGCUCUUGGCAAACACCUAACCUGAGUAAAUAUAAGAUCAAUAACUUAGCAUAAUGCCAACUAGUUGGUAUCACCUAUACGAAUCAUUUGCUUCAUUUUGUUCUAUUCUUAGCCAUCUCCACAUUGAUUCUUAGAAAAUGUAGGGUAACUUCCCUGCAUAUGGUUUUAGGCUUACCUCAUUCUCUUUUGGCACCUGAAUUUAUCAUAUUUUUUACCUGUAAAUGGUACAUUUGGGAGUCUAUGUAUGAAAUGCUAAACCAUCCUAAGAACCUUUCCUGAUUUUAUCCUCUGUCAGAUGUGUUUAUUUUAAUCUUUUUAGAUUUUGUACAAUCGCAUUUCUACAACGCUCAGAUUGUGGAUAUGUUGGACCUUAGCAACCCGACAUUUGCUUCCAUAUAACAUUGUUAGAUAUUCCCGAUCUCGUAAUUUUCUAGUAACACCUCUCUGUUUUAACCUUUUAUAUUUUAAGUAAAUGUGAUACAUUAUCAUUUAUCAUGACAUUCUCCUGGAAAAGUUAGCAUGGGUUUUGAAUUAAAUCGGCAUCUUAGCAUCCGCACAUGCUGUAUUUACUCUUUUGUUUAAGGGCAAGAAAAAGUCCCAUCUAAAAUUUUCAUUAUGUGUGUUGCAACUUACCAACGAUCACCUAGAUAGCAAUCACAAAACCUUUAAGGGAUGAGAAGACCAGUAAGAAUAAAUGUACUCUUAAAUGAUAUCAUAUGCUUAUUUAGUUACAACUGGAUACAUUGAAAAGAAAGUCCUAGUUCAGAUUGGAAAAUAAAACAUGGCAAGUUUGUAAAGCAUGUAGUUAAUCGGAAAACUACACUAUUAGUUUAAUCAUUUACAUUUGGUCUGCUACUUAUUUGAUUCUCUGCUUUUUGACAGAUGUUCUAACCAAUCCCAAGGAAAACAUUAUCGUUGCACGAUGACAAAAAAUCCCUCAUUUUCAUGUACCUUGCCACACAGAAUCGAUCUUAUCUGCUAUUUAAUAUUAAGUCGUGAAAAGUUUGACGUCAAUUGGUACUUCAACUUAAAUUUUGAAAAUUUCAUGCUGUUAUAAUUAUGUAUUAUUUUCAUCAAGGUUUCUGAAGCUUAACUCUAAUUACUUAUGUCUCUUAUCAGGUAAUGAGCUGCCUCGUGAACUGAUGCGAACUCUCUUAAAGAUGGCACCACCAACGGAUGAAGAACUAAAACUCAGAUGAUUUGGAGACAUUUCUCAGCUUGGUCCUGCUGAACGUUUUCUUAAGUCCAUGGUUGCAAUUCCAUUUGCAUAACGGAUGGAAGCAUUGCUGCUCAUGUGUUCUCUUCAGGAAGAAGUUUCAUCCAUUAAAGAGUCCUUCGCAACCUUAGAGGUAAAGUGUAAAAUAUCGAGUUUCUUAUAAUUUGAUGGUUGCAGUUAAGGGUGAAUUUUUUUUGUUAUUCUUCUUUGGCCUCAGUUUUUAUAUGUUGAUUCUCUGCUUGGUGGUUUGCCAACUAUACAUUCCUUUAACUGUUUAUUCUCUAUUCUUUCCUAGUGAAGAUAUUCUGCAGCGCAUGAAUGCGCACACAUAUACACCUUUUAUGUGUGUGCAUGUCUACACACUUGCAUUUAUCAUCAUUCAAACAAACUAUAUUUCAAUUCUGAAACCAUUGAGGUCAGUUAUUAUAUGAAUUCUCAAUAUUGAUUCGUUUCGUUCAGGUCCAUUUCAUUCCUAUUCUGAAUAAUUAGGUCUUAAAAGACAAAUUAGGGGUUUCCUAAAUCUCCCACACAUCUCUCUAUGGUAUCUACUGACUAGUUUAAUCUCAACUGUUUGGUAUAACUCGUGCAGAUCUCUUGGUUUGAUUGUGUUCUGUUUUUAACCAGGUCUACAUGGAUUUCAAAAGACUUCAGGGAUUGAAAUCUUUUUUCUCCGUGUGACUUAGUUCACCUCUUAACAAUCUUAGUUAUUGUGUUGUCAAACCUCUAAACCAGUGCAUUUUGGAGGUCUUAACACGUGAGGAAGCCAUCUAACUUUAUCUUCUAUUUGUGCAACCUGCAGUCUGGUAGAUGUAAUUAGUUCCGACAUUUUCCAAUUUACUUGUGUCUAAUAGGGUCAGUUUAUAAGAUCAUAAAUCUGUUUUAAUGUCAAUUCUUUGACAACUUUUAUCUUAUGAACAUGUUGAGCAUCUUAGAAAUGCAAUUUACUACCUUAUAAUAGUCUGUUACAUAAUCAUUCUAUCCUGAACUAUGUUUUUAUUGCAUGGAACCGUUUCAACCUUCCUUAUUUGGCUCUCUCUCUCUGUCAUACCUUAUUCCUGGUAGACUUGGAAUAGAUAUCUAAAUUACUUUUGUUGAGAAUAUCAUUAAAUGAUAAAAGUGUGCUCUCUCUAACAGCUUAAGCUUUUAGAUGAGAUGGUGACAUAUUUCAAUAUGGUACCAGAGCAGGCGUAGGUCCUGAGAUCGAAUCUCACGGCCACCCAAAAAAUCAAAAAGAAUUUUUACGUGCUUGUCCCAUGAAAAAAUAAGUCCCGCUGCCUGCACGUGAGGGGGUGUGUUGAAUUAAGUAAUAAAAGUGUGCCUCUCUAAGCAGAAGACAUUGUUGGAGUGGGUAAUGAAUCACCAAGAUUGCUUUGUGCACAUGUAUCAGAGUUAGAAAUACCAAUUGGAUUAGCAAGUUCAGAAAGAGGUUGAGGUCGAUGAGGUCGUUGGGAUAGUCCUUAAGAGUUGGAGCUGGAUUGGAAUAGUUGGAAUAUGAAGGACUGUAAUGGUUCUUAUUUUCUUUAUUAGGAGAAAAAUACGAAGAAGUCUCGAAAAAAGUAACAACGGCAGAAAUCAAGUACUUAUUGGUAGAGGGAUCAAAGCAUUUGUAUCUUUUUUUGUAGACGAGAAUACCCAAGACAGACACAUUUUGAAGGCCUUGUGCUAGUUUAUCUUUUCCGGAGGUAUGGUUAUGAACAAAAUAGGUGCAACCACUCACAUGUGGAGAAAGGGCAAACAAACUUUGGUCCAGAUAGAGGAUUGAGUGAGGACUCUGGUACUGCAAAACAGAUGAAGGCAUGCGAUUGAUCAAGUAACAAGCACUAAUAACGACAUCGACCCAAAAACAUGAAGGGACAUAAUUGUGAAUGAGUAUGUUCGAGUUGUUUCAAUUAGGUGUCUGUUCUUUCGCUCAGCAACUCCAUUUUGUUUAGGAGUAUGUGCACAAGAAGACAGGUGCAAUUUGCCUUGAGAUGACAUAAAAUAAGAGAGAGAAGUAAAGAAGUAUUCUCGGACAUUAUCACUGAUGAACUUCUUAAUGGAAAUACGAAAUUGAUUGUGAAUUUCAGCAUAAAAUUUCUGAAAGAUAGAAUAGCUUAGAUCUACUUUUCAUUAAAAAUAACCACGUGCAUCAAGAAUAGUCAUCAAUAGAAGUAACAAAAUAAUGAAAGCCUAAGGAAGAACUGACUCAACUUGGACCUUAUAUAUCUGAAUGAAUGAGUUCAAACAUAGAGGUGGCCCUAUUAUUGACGCGUUUUGGGAAAGAGGCAUGAGUGAGUUUAUCAAGCUAACACGACUCACAUUCUAACAAAUAUAAACUUGAUAAAGUGGGAACCAUUUUUGCAAUUUCAAGAGAUUUGGAUGACCCAAUUGACUAUGGCGGAAGUAAAAUCAACAUAUGGUGUUGGGAUAGAGCGCAGGUACAAUCCUUGUGACUCAUGUCCUUUUCCAAUCACCUGUCCUGUACUCCGAUCCUGCACAAGAAUAGAAUCAUCAAAGAAGGUUACAACACAUUUCAAUUUUUUUGUUAAUUUGUUAAUGGAAAUAAGAUUAUGUCGACAUUUAGGUGCUAAGAGGACUGAUUUUAAAGGUAUAGAAUGAUUGUGAGAAUAUAAUUAAAUAAUAGAAGUGUGCUCUCUCUAACAACUUAAGCUUUUAGAUGAGAUGGUCACACACUUCAAUAUUAGCAAAUAUUAUUUAAACAUAUUUAGACAUAUCAAAAUGAUUUUAUUUGAAUAUUUAUGUAUAUUUUGUAUAUGUUAUUUGUAUAUAUAUUUUUUUAUUAUUUUUUUUUAAGUAGCGUCUCAGUUUUAAAAUUUGGCAACAACUGGUUCUGUUAAAUGUAAAUGUUAAUGCUAUUAUUAGAAAUUAAAAGAACACGAAAUCCAAUCUGUAAAUCCGAUCUGGCCCAUUUAGCCUGUUAACUACAUUAACAAAGGUAUGGUUCUGAGCCGGACAUUCUUUCCCCGUGCCCAAUUCCCACCCCUUAACAUUUGCUACGAUUUGCCCGAUACUGUGUGACCACAUUUUUAUGAAUCAGAUUGUCCCAGCGUGACUGGAUGAUAUCCUUACUUCAAUUUUCGAACUAUAGGAAGUAAUAAUCUCAUUAGUGACCAAUAAAAAUUAUGGAAUAGACAUUUAUAUUCAAAAUAUAUGUAAUCUAAGAAUAUGGUAAGUAAUUUUAUAAAAAAAAUUAUUUAUUGAUACGACUUCUUCUGCAAUCUCAGGAUUCUUCCUCCCUUUCUCUUUCUAGGUCUCUUGCCGCCUCUUUGCUGCUGGUUUCGAGGGGGCAACCACUUCUACAGAAACUUAAGGAAGAAGAGAAACAAGCUGUUGUGAAAGAGGUGGUUAAGGAGGAUAUAGUUAUGGGUGAUCAACAGGAUUUCCAGUCGAAAUAUCCACGUUUGGCUGCAUCAUUUGAAAGUAUGGCUGGCAUGUCUACAAUGUAUCCGAAUGGAACAAGUUUUUUGAAGGAGAAGAUGAGUUUGAUUGCUACUGACACGGCUAAAGUGCUGGAGAAGAAGUGGAAGAAACUGGAGGACGACGAAGCUGCCUUGAUGGUGAAGCGCUUAGAUUUGAUUGCGGAGCAUUACAAAUUGGUGGUUGAUGCAAUGAGAGGUAACUAGAUGCUGAUGGAUCAUGUUCUAUUCAAUGCUACAAGUUCUGAUACUGUUUCAGUGGAGUUUUAGAUUUGUUUCAUGUAGUCUUGUUUCUCAAGACAAUUUCUUCUUGCGUUGAUGCGCUUAUGUUUAGUCCGCGAGGUAGAUUUAGUUUAUCCGGUUGAUUCAUACAUUUUAUUGCUUAUUUAAUUUUACUAGUGAACUUGUUUGGAUGAUUUCCGCUGUUUUUCUUCUUUUAUAUGUAGCAAGCUUAUUAGGAACAGCUGAAGUGGAAUGUCUGGAGACGUUCUGGUUCAUCCUUUGUAAUAUGUCAUUUCCUAUUCGAGAUGGAAAUAUAUUUAAAUGUGAUCUUUCUCAGUUUUUGCAGUUUGUGUUGAUUCACUUAGUUUGCAAUUGUUGUUCAUGCCAGCUUAUCAUACCAGUUAUUUAAUUUGGGGUGAGGGGGUGGUGGGUUAGUUACAGUUUCCUCAAGAUAUUUCCUUUGACAUAGAUGCAAUGUUGUUACCUGCUUACCUGCUUCUUAGGUGUUUCCUUUAAUGGCUUAUUCUCUAUUCUUUCCUAGUGAAGAUUUCUGCAGCGCAUGCCUACACACUUGCACUUAUCAUCAUUCAAUCAACUAUAUUUCAAUUCUGAAACCAUUGAGGUCAAUUAUUAUAUCCAUUCGUUUUAUUCAGGUCCAUUGCAUUCCUAAACUAUAUAAUUGGGUCUUAAAAGACAAAUUAGGGGUUUCCUAAAUCUCCCACAAUCUCUCUAUGGUAUCUAUUGACUAGUUUAAUCUCAACUGUUUGGCAUAACUCAUGCAGAUCUCUUGGUUUGAUUCUUUUCUGUUUUUAACCAAGUCUACAUGGAUUUUAAAAGAAUUCAGGGAUGGAAAACUUUUCUCUGUGCGACUUAGUUCGCCUCUUUAAAAUCUUAGUUAUCGUGUUGAUAAACCUAUAAACCAGUGCAUUUUGGAGGUCUUAACACAUGGGGAAGCUAUCUAACUUUAUCUUCUUUUUGUGCUACCUGCACUCUGUUAGAUGUAAUAAGUUCUGACGUUUUCCAAUUUACUUGUGUCUAAAAGGAUCGUCUAGUUUUAUAAGAUCAUAAAUUUGUUUUCAUAUCAAUUCUUUGACAGCUUUUAUCUAAUGAACAUGUUGAGCAUCUUUAAGAUGUAGUUUACUGCCGCAUAAUAGUCUGUGACAAUCAUUCUAUCCUGAACUAUGUUUUUAUCGCAUGGAACUGUUCUAGGAUUCUUUUCGUUUCAACCCUCCUUAUUUGGCUCUUUCUCUCUUCCUGGUAGAUCCAGAAAAGAUAUCUAAAUUGUUUCUGUUGAAAAUAUAAUUAAAUAAUAAAAGCGUGCUCUUUCUAACAGUUUAAGUUUUUAAAUGAAAUGGUCACACACUUCAAUAUGGUUUCAGAGCAGACAAAUGUCUUGAGAUCGAAUCUUACCGCUAUCAAAAAAACCAAAAAAAAAAUCACGUGCUUGGCCCAUGAAAAAAUCAGGCCCGAGUCACCAAGGGAGGUAAGGUUAUGAACAAAACAGGUGCAACCAAACACACGUGGUGGAAGGGGAAACAAAUUUUUGGUUUGAGCUGUUUCAAUUAGAUGUCUGUUCUUUCAUUCAACAAUUCCAUUUUGUUGAGGAGUAUGUGCACAAGAAGACAAGUGCGAUAUUCCCUAGGAUGAGGAGUAUGUGCACAAGAAGACAAGUGCAAGGAAUUCAUUCAGCAACUCCAUUUUGUUGAGGAGUAUGUGCACAAGAAGACAAGUGCAAUAUUCCUCAGGAUGACAUAAAAGAAGAGAGAGAAGUAGAGAAGUAUUCUUGGACAUUAUCACCGAUUAACUUCUUAAUGGAAAUACUAAAUUGAUUUGGGAAUUUCAGCAUGAAAUUUCUGAAAAAUAGAGAAUAGCUCAAAUAUACUUUUCAUUAAAAAUUACCCUGUGCACUGAGAAUAGUCAUCUAUAAAAGUACACAAAACAAUGAAAGCCUAAGGAAGAACUGACACGACUUGGACCCCAUAUGUCUCAAUGAACAAUUUCAAACAUAGAGGUGACCCUAUUAUUGACGCGUUUUGGGAAAGAGGCAUGAGUGUGCUUACCAAGCUGACAAGACUCACAUUCUAACAAAGAUAACUGGGGACCAUCUUUUACAAUUUUAAGAGACUUGGAUGACCCAAUUGACAAGCAACAGGAAGUUAUAGUUACUUAAAGCACUAGCAGUGUGCAGACAGAAGAUCUUGUAGAGGAACUUGCUCAAGUACUGUCGGCAGAUUAUCACUGUAACCUUGGUCUUCGGGUGGUUUCAGGUUUAAGCAACGAGCUUGAGAAUGUAAGAAAAGCUUCACGAUUCUAUCUCGAAGAGUUAUAACUAAAAUCGUGCAUCUGUCUCUCCUGGAUUGCAGGAAAUAGUUGUUUACGUAUGUCUGGCAAAGACUCGGGACUGACAGAGGCGUAUCUAGAGGGGGUGCCGUGGGUUCACGUGAACCCAUGCUCCCCUCUCUAGAUCAUAUAUAGUAGUGUUAUAUUUUUUAAAAAAUAUUUAAAUAUAGAUGUGUGAACCCAUGUUCAAAGUAUCAUAUAAUAAUGCGAUGAUGAUUGGGUGCACUUCUCUAAGUGAGAGAUAGAAAUUUAAAUCUUAUAUCUAUCUUGUUUCUUUGAGUAACACUUUUUCAAGUGGUUAUCAGUUACACUUUUGUCGUUUCAACUAAUUUUUCUUUUGUUUUUUCCUUUAUUCUUUCAAAAUUUUCAAGUGUGUUACAUUGAGAAUUCCUAAAAAUUUAGCAUUGUAAAUUUUUUAUAUAAUUAAAUCAAAUGUGUAUAUUAAAAUUUAAAACUAGUAGUAUUAUAUAUUUUUGACCUAUAAUUUUAAACUUAAUGGUUCAUAUUACGAACUAAAAGUCAAAUCGAUCAAAUUUAUAUUUAAGAUAUAUUUUUUGUAAUCGUGCACCCAUCUAGCCGAAAUCCUGGAUAUGCCUCUGUCGGGACAAGAUUCUUUGGAAGGAGAUGUUAAUGCCCCUUUUGUAGGAGUCUGAACUGGUAAUUUUGUUGAGUUUCUCACCACUGUACAUGCCUUGUCCAACAAAUCACUAAUUAAUGACUGAAAAGAGACGUAAGCCUUCGUCCUUCUCUGAAUUUACAUGGAAGUAAUCUCCUGUGCUGUUAACCAAAAACAUUAUUUUUUUCUCUUCUUGUAGUAUGCAAGUAAUCUCAUGUUGGAUAAAAUUUGUGAGCGUAUCACGGAACUUACUUUCAUCCUCCAAACUUCUCAUAUCAGUGUCCAGAAGCUCUUUAGUUUUCACUAGUGACUAACUAAGCUGCAUUUAAGUUCUCGCCAUCAAUAAGUGAAGCUUUUCUUACAUUCUCAAGCUCGUUGCUUAAACCUGAAACCACCGAAAGACCAAGGUUACGGUGAUAAUCUGCCAACUCCUGAGCAAGAUCCUCUAUAAGAACUUCUGUCUGAACAACCGUAGUGCUUUGGAUCUCUUGAAAUCUAAAUCCUUCAGAUCGAAUAAUUUCCUCAACUACAAAGUUCAAGAGUUUGGUCUUUCCAUCAGUUCCUUUCACAUCUGAGUGCCAUAGUAGCUAUUGCAUGGUGUACUACAACUACCUCUCAAUGUUUGUUGUCACCUUUGUCUAUAAGAAUCUAUCUAAAUAUCGAGAUGUUAAUGGUACUGAAAUCUCCUCAAUAUUUGAUAAUUUAUUUUUAGUAUAUGAAGGAAGUUAGACCAGAUUUGUAUAGUUGCAUUCUUCUAGUUUCAGCUUCUUUUUCUGGUCAAGAUGCAUGAUUGCUAAUUCAUCUGUUUAUUGGACACUCAACUUUGUACAAAUUUUUAGUGUCAUAUCUUCCAAAAUUAAGUUGUGUACUGUCUGGUUUGCAACCCUUACUACUUCUAUAUUACGUAUGUUUCACUAUAUACUAAGCUUUCAUAUUCUUUUGGUUGUGAUUGUCUACUCCUCAUUCGAAUUUUCCAUAAACAUGAUUUUGUGAGUACUAGGAUUGAGCGUAUAGCAUUUCUAAGGACAUUCCUUAUGUAUAAGCGUUAAAUCAUUUUUCUGCUGAUUGGUGUUGGGAAAAGAAUGCACCUCCACGAGGUAGUAGUAAGGUUUGCAUACACUCUACCCUCCUUAGACCGUACUUAGUGGGAUUUCAUGUGAUAUAUAUUAUUUUUGUUGAAGUUGUGUUGGAAAAUUGCCUUCUGCCACAAGGUCUAUGUAAAUUUGAAGAAACUUCAAAGUUUGCUAGUAUUUCAUUGAUGUCCUUCUGCUUUGUUUACUAUGUAAAGGUGAGGAAUUUCAAGCUUUGGCAAUAUAUUGACUUUAUAUCUGGCUCUUUUGGCUUUGUUCAAGUGACAGGUAGAGGGAGCCACAAGUUUGGUAUUUAAGUGGAGAAUAAUUAAAAAAUAGAUCUAUUAUUUUUGAGUUUCAAAGCAUUGGUCCCAGAUAAUUAGUAAAUGCAUUGGCAAUUGAUUUGCAAUAUUUCGCACAUAAUAUAUAUAUGUACUAUAUUGGUAUCAUCAAGGUUUCUUGUUCAGAAUUACUUAUUACUCAAUGAUACAAUAAGAGUAUAUGUAUAUUGUUGUGGUAUCAUUAAGGUUUCUUAUUCAUAAAUUACUCUUUAUAGUAUCAUUGACUAAUGAAUAAUUUCUUAACAAAAAACCUUAAUGAUACUAAUAUAGUGUGUAUAUAUAUAUAUAUAUAUAUUGAUUUAGUAUCAAUUAAGCGAAAUGAUCAGCCUUAAUAAUACCAAUAUAGUUUAUGAUACGAAUUUAGUAUCAGUUAAGCGAAAUUAGUUGAGGGGUAUAUAAUGUAAUUAUUUAGUGGGUAUGAAUGUAAAAGGGUAUAUGCUUGUAAUUAUUUUGUUUUUAUGGGAUAUUUGCUUAGCUUCCCCAAAAUAUUAACAUACAAAGUUCAAUUUUAUUUUCAAUAUAUAUCAAAAUAAUACAAUAAGUAAAAAAUAAUGUUAGCAAAUAUUACUUAAACAACAUAUAAAAGGUCAAAACAUGUAUCUCGUUGGAAUAAAAAUAAUAAUUUUACUUUCAAAAUUCAAACACUACAAUAUUUUGAAAAUAAUGUUAGCAAAUAUUAUGUGAACAUAUAAACAUCUUGUGUAUGUUAUUUGCAUAUGUAUUUUUUUUUAGUAGUGACUAAUUUUUAAAAUUUGGCAAUAAUUGAUCUAUUAAAUGUAAAUGUCAAUGCUAUUAUUAAAAUUAAAAGAGCAUGGAAUCCACUCUAUGGACUCUAUUUGGCCCAUUUAGCCCGUUAAUUACACUAAUCAAAGUAGGGGCUAAGCCGGACAUCCUUUCCAUGGGCCACAUCCCCACCCCUUAACAUUAGCUAGGGUUAGUUCGAGUCCUGUGUGAUCAUAUUUUAAUGAGUUGGAUUUUUCCAGCAUAAUCGGAUGAUAUUCUUACUUCAAAGUUUGAACUAUAAGGGAUCGUUUGAUUUGAAUAUGAGUUAUGAUGGAUAAGUUAUAAUGAGAUAAAUUAUGUUGGGAUUAGUUAUGAUGGGAUAAGUUGUCCUCAGAUUAUUUCUUAUUGAGUGUUUGGUUUGUUGUAUUCAAAAUAAUAUAUAUUGAUAAAUUUUAUGAACAAGUUGUUUGUUUACAAAAUUACCCUUCACUUUAUUUAAUCUUUUAAAUUUUCUUUGUGAGCUUUAGUUAUUCAUUUUUAUAAUAAAAUUUUAUUUUAUUUAACUUAAAUAUUUUGUUUAUGUAUCCCCGUGAUAAGUACCAUGUGUAUUUUAAAAAUAUAACUUUUUUUCUUAUUUUAGCUUUAAAAAAUAGAACUUCCCUCUUAAAGUUUUGUUUAAAAGAGAAGAAAAUUUAUGAGAAAUCAAAAUAAAAAUAAACAUAAGAAUUAGUCAAAUAAAUUCAUAAAUAAAAAUUAUAUUUAUAUAGUGUAAUUUUUUAAUAGAAAAACAUGUAUAAUUAUCAUAAAAAUAAGGAGUAGUAAAUAUUAUUAUACAUGGUAUUAGAAAUAAUGUAAAUAUACAUAAAUAUGAAAAAUAAUGUAUAAAAAGGAUUUAAAGGGAUAUAUUUGUCAUUUACCUAUUUUAUUCCGGGAUAAGUUAUCACGGGAUUACUAUACCACCCAAUGUGAGGGAUAACUUAUCCUGGUACUAAUUCAUAAUCCUGAAAUAAGUUAUCCCAAGCUUUGCAACCAAACAACGAAAUAAAGGGUACUUAAAAUUUAUCAUGAGAUUAACUCUCCUUAUCCAUCACAUUAAACGACCCUUAAGUAUUAAUAAUCUCAUUCAGUUGAUACAUAAAUGACCAAAAAAAUAUAUGAAAUAGACAUUCAUAUUCAAAAUAUACGUAAUCUAAGAAUAUGGUAAGUAGUUUUAUAAAAUUUUCUAUUUAUUGACACGUCUUCUUCUGCAAUCUUGAACUUCUUCCUCCCUUUCUCUUUCUGGGUCUCUUGCGGCCUCUUUAUUGCUCGUUUCGAUGGGGCAACAACUUUUACAGGAACACUCAGCUUGAUUGUGCAGUGUGAUGCAGAAGGAGAAGACAUGGAAUGACCUGAUUCCGCUUCCGAUUUGCAUCCUGAUCCAUUAUUGCUUGUAGACUAAAAAGAAGAUUUUGGGGUUUCUAUUGGGUUUGAAUUGGUUUUUGAGUAACGAGUCUCUUUUCAACUGGAGGGACUGUCUCAGGUUCUUCACCGCUUUAAAUAUUUGAUUUUAAAAAAAAAACUCACAUAGAUCUAAUUAAAAAUGAUAAAUCACAUUUUGAAAGAAGAUUUCUUCCUAUUAAAAAGCACAAAUAAAGCGUGAUUGCUCCAUCAUCUCCCGACCAUCCCAAUUCCACAUGUGAGUAGUGGUGUUGGUGUGAGUCGUGGAGUAGAUGUCUAAAUGGGGAAAGUAAUUAUCCAAUCGUAGAAGGCGCGGCAAUUGAUUAAGACAUUGCUUUUUUGUAUACAUCGAAAAGCCCUACACAAAGCUUUCAUCUUUUUGUCUUUGCUUCAACACUCACCAUAGACACAGCUGACGGCCGAAUAGCUCUCUCUUCUUGCUUGCAGAAACAAUGGUCCCCAAUACCAAAUCCCGCUUAGUAGACCAGCCUCCUUCUGCAUCGUCCUCUGAAGAACAAGAACUGGUGGAGGAAUCCCAGGAAGAAGAAGAACAACAAUCGGGGGAGGAAGAAGGAGAAGAAAAUGAAGAACCCAAGACAGCUCAUCCAGUUGUAAAGAGAUCCCUCACUCAGAAACUCCAAUUUUCUUCUGAGUCCGGCAGCGAGAAUGGGUCAGGAUCCGAAUCGGAAGCCGAAUCGGGCCAUUCCCUGCCUUCCCCUUCUGCAUCGGACUUCACUGUCAAGCCCAGUGUUCCUGCUAAAGCUGCUGCCCCAUCGAAAUCAGUAGCAAAGAGGCCGCAAGAGGCCCAGAAAGAAAAAGGGAGGAAGAAGCCCAAGAUUGUAGAAGAAGAGGAGAAAAAAUCAGCUGCUACUCCUCGCUUUCUUUGGAGCGAUGACGACCAGCUUGCUCUGCUCAAAGGGAUUGCUGAAUACAAGGCGGUAGAAGGAAUGGAACCUAAAGCCGAUAUGUCUGCGUUUCAUGAAUUCAUCAGAGGGAAGUUGCAGGUUGAAGUUUCAAAGAGUCAACUCAGUGAAAAGCUAAAGAGGUUAAAGAAGAAAUUUUUGACUAAUGUGAAAGGUGGCGAGGAGCCAGUUUUCAUGAAGGGUCAGGAUUCUUUAGUUUUUCAGCAUUCAAAGAGGAUUUGGGGUGCCCCUGGAACUAGUAAUGGAGUUAAGGAGAUUGUUACCAAUAGCACUAAUGACAAAGCUAAAAAGGCUGUUGAGGUUAAGAUGAGUUCUGAACCUAAGAAAAGUGCUAAAGUUAGCAAACCCAAGGAUGAUGAGAAUCAUAAGGAAGCUGUAAAAGAGGUGGUUAAGGAGGAUAUAGUUAAGGGUGAUCAACAGGAUUUCCAGUCCGAAUAUCCACGAUUGGCUGCAUCAUUUGAAAGUAUGGCUGGCAUGUCUACAAUGUAUCCAAAUGGUACUAGUUUUUUGAAGGAGAACAUGAGUUUGAUUGCUACUGACAAGGCUAAAGUGUUGGAGGAGAAGUGGAAGAAACUGGAGGAUGACGAAGCUGCCUUGAUGGUGAAGCGCUUAGAUUUGAUUGCGGAGCAUUACGGAUUGGUGGUUGAUGCAAUGAGAGGUAACUAGAUGCUGGUGGAUCAUUUUCUAUUGGAUGCUACAAGUUUUGAUACUGUUUCGGUUGAGUCUUAGAUUUUGUUUCAUAUAUUCUUGUUUCUCAAGACAAUUCCUUCUCGCGUUGAUGUACUUAUGUUUAGUCCGCGAGGUAGAUUUGGUUUUUCUGGGUGAUUAAUACAUUUUAUUGCUUAUUUAGUUUUACUAGUGAACUGGUUUGGAUGAUACCCCAGUGUUGCGUCUUAUAUAUGUUAGUGUGGUAUGGAGUGAUUGGCUCUUUAAAGGGGUUGCAAUGAAAUGCCUACUCAUUCCUAUCAUAUAAUGCCAUGUAUGGUGGAAGCAAGCCUAGGAAAAGCUGAAGUGGAAUGUCUGGAGAUGUUCUGGUUCAUCCUUUGUAAUAUGUAUUUCCUAUUCUAGAAGGAAAUAUACUUAAAUGAUAUCUUUCUCAAUUUUCGCAGCUUGUGUUGAUUCACUUUGUUCUCAAUUGUUGUUCAUGCCAGCUUAUCAUACCAGUUAAUUGAUUUGGGGAGGGGGUGGUGGGUUAGUUAUAGUUUCCUCUAAAUAUUUCCUUUGGUAUAGUGUGCAAUGUUGUUUCCUGACUAGACAGUUCUCCAAUCCUAGAGGUUUUAAAUCCUAUAAAUCUAAAGAACUUAAAUUAUGAUAGAAAAUUUUCUUACAGGCACUGCUUCUUAGGUGUUUCAUUUAACUGCUGAUUCUCUAUCCUUUCCUAGUGAAGAUAUUCUGCAGCGCAUGAAUACGCACACACAUACAGCUUUUAUUUGUGUGAGCAUGUCUACACACUUGCAUUUAUUAUCAUUCAAUCAACAAACCAUUGAGGUCAGUUAUUAUAUGAAUUCUCAAUAUCCAUUCGUUUUGUUCAGGUCCAUUGCAUUCCUAAACUGAAUAAUUAGGUCUUAAAAGACAACUUGAAGGUUUCUUAAAUCUCUCACACAUCUCUCUAUGGUAUCUACUGACUAGUUUAAUCUCAACUGUUUCGCAGAAUUCAUGCAGAUCUCUUGGUUUGGUUGUGUUCUGUUUUUAACCAAGUCUACAUGGAUUUCAAAAGACUUCUGGGAUUGAAAACAUUUUUCUCCGUGCGACUUAAUUCACCUCUUAAAAAUCUUAGUUAUUGUGUUGUCAAACCUAUAAACCAGUGCAUUUUGGAGGUCUUAACACAUGGGGAAGCCAUCUAACUUUAUCUUCUAUAUGUGCUAUAUGCACUCUGUUAGAUGUAAUAAGUCCUGACAGUAGUUGUGUUUGAAAGAGUCGUCCAGUUUUAUAAAAUCAUAAAUUUGUUUUAAUAUCAGUUCACUUACAACUUUUAUCUUAUGAACAUGUUGAGCAUCUUAGAAAUGCAAUUUACUGCUGUAUAAUAGUUUGUGACACAAUCAUUCUAUCCUGGACUAUGUUUUUAUUGCAUGGGAUUGUUCUAGGAUUCUUUCGUUUCAGCCCUCCUUAUUUGGCUCUUUCUUUGUCAUACCUUUUUCCUGGUAGACUAAGAAUAUAUAUCUAAAUUGUUUCUGUUGAGAAUAUAAUUAAAUAAUAAAAGUGUGCUUUCUUUUACAACUGAAUCUUUUAGAUGAGAUGGUUACACACUUCAAUAUGGUAUCAGAGCAGGCAGAGGCCUUGAGAUCGAAUCUUACUGCCACCCAAAAAAUCUAAAAGAAUUUUCACAUGCUUGGCCCAUGAAAAAAUCAGGCCCGCUUGCCCGGACGUGAGGGGGCAUGUUGAGUAUAAUUAAAUAAUAAAAGUGUGUUUAUACGUGAGGGGUGUGUGUUGAGAAUAUAAUUAAAUAAUAAAAAGGGGGCAUGUUAAGAAUAUAAUCAAACAAUAAAAGUGUGUUUAUACGUGAGGGGAUGUGUUGAGAAUAUAAUUAAAUAAUAAAAAUGUGUUCUCUCUAAGUAAAAGACAUUGUUGGAGCUGGUAAUGAGUCACCAAGAUUGCUUUGGGCACCUAUAUAUCAGGGUUACAAAAUACCAAUUAGAUUAACAAAUUCAGAAAAAGGUUGAGAAUACGGAGAAGUCUUGAAACAAGUAAUAUCAGUAGAGAUCAAGUACUUAUUGGUAGAGGGAUCAAAGCAUUUAUAACCUUUUUGUAGAUGAGAAUACCCGAGAAAGACAUUUAAAGGCCUUGUGCUGAAGUUUAUCUUUUUCGGGGUAAGGUUAUGAACAAAACAGGUGCAACCAAACACACGUGGAGGAAGGGGACACAAAUUUUGGUUCGGUUAGAGGUUUGAGUGAGGACUCUAGUACUGCUAAACAGAUGAAGGCAUGUGAUUGAUUAAAUAACAAGCAGUAAUAACGGCAUCACCCCAAAAACGUAAAAGGACAUGAUUGUAAAUAAGCAUUGUUUGGUCUGUUUCAAUUUAAUGUUUGUUCUUCCGCUUAGCAACUCUAUUUUGUCAAGGAGUUUGUGCACAAGAAGACAAGUGCAAUAUGCCCUCGGAUGAUAUAAAGAAGAGAGAGAAGUAGAGAAGUAUCCAUUCUAAAAAAAGAAGAAGUAGAGAAGUAUUCUCGGGCAUAACUUCUUAAUGGAAAUACCAAAUUGAUUGCGAAUUUCAGCAUGGAAUUUCGGAAAGAUAGAGUAAAGCUCAAAUCUACUUUUCAUUAAAAUUAACCACGUUAACCGAGAAUACUCAUCGAUAAAAGUAACAAAAUAAUGAAAGCCUAAGGAAGAAUUGACACGAUUUGGACCCCAUAUAUUUGAAUGAACGAUUUCAAACAUUGAGGUGGCCCUGUUAUUGACGCGUUUUGGGAAAGAGGCACGAGUGUGCUUACCAAGCUAACACGACUCACAUACUAACAAAGAUAAAUUAGAUAAACUGGGACCAUCUUUUGCAAUUUCAUGAGACUUGGAUGACCAAUUUAACUAUGAAGCAAUUCAUAAGAAACAACGAAAGUAAAAGCAACAUGUGGUGUUUGGAUUGAGAGCAGUUAGUUAUAAUCCCUGUGAUUUAUGUCCUUUUUCCAAUCACCUGUCCCGUACUCCGAUCCUGCACAAGAACAGAAUCAUCAAAGAAGGUUACAACACAUUUCAAUUUUUUUUGUUAAUUUACUAAUUGAAAUAAGGUUAUAUGGACAUUCAGGUGCAAAAAAGUCGAGCUUUAAAGGUAUGGAAUGAUUUUAAGAAUAUAAUUAAAUAUUAAAAGUGUGUUCUCUCUAACAACUUAAUUUUUUAGAUGAGAUGAUAACACACUUCAAUAGUUUCAUUAUGCCCAUAGCUCCAUCUUAUGGAACAAUUUUAGCUUUGAAAGGUGUUUCUUGGAGGACAUCUCAAUCAUAUAUGACUAAAGUUUAUCUAUUUCUGAAUAACUUUAGGUAUGUGGCGCCUAAAUUAUAUAUGUCUAAAGUUUAGCUUUACUCAAGUUAAAUAAAAAUGUUCAGUUUAUUCAUAUGAUUAAUAUUCAGACGAAAAUGAAUGUACUUCAAUUAUAUGUAGCUUAAAAUUUGAAGUUUGCAUUCUAAAAAUUAUUUUAAAUGAACAAAUUUAUAAUUUUUUACAAUGUUAUGAAUAUAACUUAAAUGAUAAUUCUAAAAUCGGGCAUCAUAGCAAAUGGAGAUGGAUGCAAUGUGCAUCCAUAAAAUGUGUUUAGAUAUGAGUUGCCUAAUGUAUAUGUUAACUAUGGUUGUUAUUGACAUGUCUAUGUAUUUGUUUGCUGAUACCUGAUUACUAUCUUCUGAUGAGUAUUAGCAUUUUCGUUGAAAUUGAAGUAGCAUUAUUUUUGCGGAGAAUACAAUUAAAUAAUUUAAGUGUGCUUCAAAAAGCUUAUGUUUUUAGAUGAUAUGGUUAUGAUACAGUUUCACACUUCAACAACUUUCAUAAGAGGUAAACUUUUGGGUUGUUCAAAUGAAUUUGUGUUUUUAAUUAAGAGCAGGAUUUAACCAAUCUGGUCUUUGACCACAACCAAGUAAUAUGGGUUUAGGGGUAUAAGCCAAAGAUCCUGAGGUUUUUCAUUUCCAAAAGUUCAUAGACUAAGCUAUUAGUUGUAAAAAUGGCUGAAAUUUGGAGGUUAAUAGGAAACAAGAAUUGAAUCAGUAUCUAUAACAAAGACAAUGUGGAAGUAUCUCUAAUAAUCCUCCUUGGAACUUAAAUACAGUGUUUUCCUGAAAUCGGUAACCUUUUCAUCCUAUUCCUUGAAACAUAUUUGUAUUGCAUCAAAGGUUUUUUCCUCGCACGAGCAUUUUGAAGAUCAUUGUGCAAGAAAACUGGAGUCACCUUUCUGUUUCCCCAAACCAGCCUAGCAUGUAAAUCUGUAUUCCCAAGCUGUUACUUUUAUGCAGCAAAAUUUCUUGCUCUGUAUCUUUUUCCAACUAGAAUAAGGAAAAAAAACAUUCUGACACACUUUUGUAGUCCAGUUCUCAGUAUCUGGAUUCGGACAGUUCAAUUACAUGGGCUAACAAGUUUCAAUGUUGCCAGUUUAGUUGUUGAAUUUUUUAUUCAUUGUGCCUAUAAUAUGGCCAUCAAAUUUGAAUUUUCAAAAAUGCAAGAAGGAGAAGCAUAUGUUGCAUCAUAGUGAAUUUCACAAAUACAACGUUAUGUUGGUAUUUAGAACUCACAUCUCUAACUUAAUUCUUGCCUUGUCAGAAUAUUAGAACUUGAUGAGAUCUUCUGUAUGCAGGCUGAGCUAGUAUUGAUUCAUUGAAGGGAAUAGUUAGAAGAGGGUACUGAAGCUGCAAAAUUUCUGGAAUAUUAUAUUCAACAGACAGCAACAGGAAGUUAUAGUUACUUAAAACAGGAUAUUGCUUUGUUGAGAAAAUGAAACAAAAGACUAUUGAAGAUUUGCCUCCCCGAGAGAAGCAGAUUUUGUUGCAGUACUUAAAAAGAAAAAAAUGUGCCAAUCCAUGUUUCUGAAAGUGAUGAUGCAUCAGUACUUGGUUUAGCAAGUAUGAAGAGCUUUUUUCACAAUUGUCACGCGUUCCUAGGAGGUACCUAAGAAAAAGAAAAAACCAUUUUGCCAAAAAAAAUGUGCUCCAGUUCCAUCCCUCGCUUCAUCUCCAAUCCCUGCAACUGUUCUGUCUCCCGCUCCCUCUCCAGGUCCUGCAGCAGUUUCAACCCUCGCUCCAUCUCCGGGUCCUGCAACUGUAUCACCAGUUUAUGCUCCAGUUCCUUCUAUUGUAAGUGCCCACUAGCUCUCCUCCAGCUGUGCAGCCUCCUUCUCCAGUUCUAAAACCUCCUGCAAAGCCUCCAAAAGUUAGAACUCACACCAGUUCUUCUAAACCUUUGCCUGUUAAUCCUCCAGAUAAACCACAAAAUGGUCCUAAUUCUCCGGGAAAUAAUCAAGAGCAUCGAAAUUAUUUAUUUGCUGCAGGGGUUGGAUGUUCCGUUGCAGGAAUACCUUUCUAGCUCUGUUGAUAUUCUGUGUUAAGAAUAAAAGGAAAGAAAUUACUCCAAAUGAUGGGCAAAGGGAUGGGAAACCGCCUCUGAAUUUGAAUGCAGGUGUCUAUUUGCUGCUAUUUAUCAUGAUGGUUAAUUAAUCUCAUCGUAUCAUUCUUUUUCAUUUCAUUUCAGUAAUUUGUAUGAUUUGUAUUGUCAGGUUCUUCUCUAAAUGUCAAGAGUGCAUCUGCUGUAAAUGAUGCUGAUCCUCAUAAAUCUUCCGAAGCAGACGCGGAACUGUCAAAACCUGAGAUGAAUGCAAAUGCUCAUGCACCAUUACCUCAUCCUCCAGGAAAGUCUGCACCUCCACUUCCUGGUCCUCCACCAUCUCUUCCUCCUAAACCACCUACUCCUAGCCCACCUCCACCUCCAAAAGUUCGCCCUCUUAAUCCACCAAAACCUGGUAAUUUUCCAAAGUCUUUACCUCUUCGAGCACAUCAGAGAGGAUGUUCUUCUGAGACCAGGGGAAGUGACUCAUUGGAUCUGAUGCUCCUAAAACAAAAUUAACACCAUUUUUUUGGGACCAGGUUCUUGCUAACCCUGACCACUCUAUUGUUUGGCAUGAAAUAAAAGCCGGCUCAUUCCAGUAAGCUUCGCACUGAUCUUGCUAUUCACUUGCUCCUGUGAAAGUUUAACUGUUUCUGUUUUUACCAUUCUGAUUGCUGAGUUUUAUUACAGGUUUAAUGGGGAGAUGAUGGAUUCUUUUUUUGGAUACAUACCAGGAGACCAAGAGAAAGAUGAUUGAAAGCUACCUUAUCCUUUAAUCAAACCUCACAGUACAUUCAGAUUAUUGAUCCUAGGAAAUCACAAAAUCUAGCAAUUCUCCUCAAAGCCUUAAAUGUGGCAACAAAAGAAGUUUAUGAUGCUCUCAAGUAGGGGUGGCAAAUGGGUGGAUUGGAUCGGAUUUGGAUGGAUUGACUUAAAAUGGAUUGAUCACAAUCCACCCAUAUAAAAUAUGGGUAAAUAUGGAUUUGGUCAAAUAUGGUUUGGGCAAAAUGGUUGUAACCCACUUUAAUCUCUUAAAGCCAAAAAAUAUUAAAUCAAAGCUAAAUUGUCAAAGAGUCAACUCCGUGACAAGGUAAGGAGGUUAAAGAAGAAAUUUUUGACUAAUGUGAAAGAUGAUGAGGAACCAGUUUUCAUGAAGGGUCAGGAUUUUGUUGUUUUUGAGCAUUCAAAGAGGAUUUGGGGUGCCCCUGGAACUAGUAAUGGAGUUAAGGAGAUUGUUAGCAAUAGCACUAAUGGCAAAGCUAAAAAUACUGUUGAGGUUAAGAAUAGUUCUGAACCUAAGAAAAGUGCUAAAGUCAGCAAACCCAAGGAUGUUUGAAACAUAAGGAAGAAGAGAAACAGGUUGCUGUAACAGAGGUGGUUAAGGUGGAAAUAGUUAAGGGUGAUCGACAGGAUUUCCAGUCCGAAUAUCCACAUUUGGCUGCUUCAUUUGAAAGUAUGGCUGGCAUGUCUACAAUGUAUCCGAAUGGAAAAAGUUUUUUGAAGGAGAAGAUGAGUUUGAUUGCUACUGACAAGGCUAAAGUGUUGGAGGAGAAGUGGAAGAAACUGGAGGAUGACGAAGCUGCCUUGAUGGUGAAGCGCUUAGAUUUGAUUGCGGAGCAUUACGGAUUGGUGGUUGAUGCAAUGAGAGGUAACUAGAUGCUGAUAGAUCAUGUUCUAUUUGAUGCUACAAGUUCUGAUACUGUUUUGGUGGAGUUUUAGAUUUUGUUUCAUAUAGUCUUGUUUCUCAAGACAAUUUCUCCUCACGUUGAUGUAGUUAUGUUUAGUCUGCGAGGUGGAUUUAGUUUAUCAGGUUGAUUCAUACAUUUAAUUGCUUAUUCAGUUUUACUAGUGAACUGGUUUGGAUGAUAUCCGUGUGUUGCUUCUUAUAUAUGUUAGUGUGGUAUGGAGUGAUUGGCUCUAUUAAAGGGUUGCAAUGAAAUGCCUACACAUGCCUAUCAUAUAAUGCCAUGUAUGGGUGGAAGCAAGCUUAGGAACAGCUGAAGUGGAAUGUCUGGAGACAUUCUGGUUCAUCCUUUGUAAUAUGUCAUUUCCUAUUCCAGAUGAAAAUAUAUUUAAAUGCGAUCUUUCUCAGUUUUUGCAGCUUGCGUUGAUUCACUUUGUUCUCAAUUGUUGUUCAUGCCAGCUAAUCAUACCAGUUAAUUGAUUUGGGGAGGGGGUGGUGGGUUAGGUACAGUUUCCUCUAGAUAUUUCCUUUGGUAUAGAGUGCAAUGUUUUUUCCUGACUAGACAGUUGUCCAAUCCUAGAGGUUUUAAGUCCUGCUAUAAAUCUAAAAGAACUUAAAUUAUGAUAGAAAAUUUUCUUACAGGCACUGCUUCUUUGGUGUUUCCUUUAACUGCUUAUUCUCAACUCUUUCCUAGUAAAGAUAUUCUGCAGCAUAUGAAUGUGCACACACAUACAGCUUUUAUUGUGUGUGCAUGUCUACACACUUGCAUUUAUCAUCAUUCAAUCAACUAUAUUUCAAUUCUGAAACCAUUGAGGUCAGUUAUUUUAUGAAUUCUCAAUAUCCAUUUGUUUUGUUCAGGUCCAUUGCAUUUCUAUACUGAAUAAUUAAGUCUUAAAAGACAAAUUAGGGGUUUCCUAAAUCUCCCAUACAUCUCUCUAAUGGUAUCUACUGACUAGCUUAAUCUCAACUGUUUGGCCUAACCCGUGCAGAUCUCUUGGUUUGAUUGUGUUCUGUUUUUAACCAAGUCUACAUGGAUUUCAAAAGACUUCAGGGAUUGAAAACUUUUUUCUCCGUGUGACUUAGUUCACCUCUUUAAAAUCUUAGUUAUGUGUUGUCAAACCUAUAAACCAGUGCAUUUUGGAGGUCUCAACACAUGGGGAAGCCAUCUAACUUUAUCUUCUAUAUGUGCUACCUGUGGUCCUGCAGUCUGUUAGAUGUAAUAAGUUUUGACAUUUUCUAAUUUACUUGUGUCUAAAAAGGGUUGUACAGUUUGAUAAGAUCAUAAAUCUGUUUUAACAUUAAUACUUUGACAACUAUAUCUUAUGAACAUGUUGAGCAUCUUAGAAAUGCAAUUUACUAUCUUAUAAUAGUUUGUUACAUAAUUAUUCUAUCCUCAACUAUGUAGUUAUCGCAUGGAACCGUUCAACCUUCCUUAUUUGGUUCUCUCUGCGUCAUACCCUUUUCCUGGUAAACUCAAAAUAGAUAUCUGAAUUAUUUUUGUUAAGAAUAUAAUUAAAUAUAAUUAAAUGAUAAAAGUGUGCUCUCUCUAACAGCUCAAACUUUUAUAUGAGAUGGUGACACACUUCAAUAUGAUAUCAGGGCAGGCAUAGGUCCUGAGAUCGAAUCUCACCGUCACCCAAAAAAUCAAAAAGAAUUUUCACGUGCGUGUCCCAUGAAAAAUACAGCCCUCCUGUCCGUACGUGAGGGGCAUGUUGAGAAUAUAAUUAGUAAUAAAAGUGUGUUCUCUCUAAGCAGAAGACAUUGUUGGAGUGGGUAAUGAGUCACCAAGAUUGCUUUGUGCACCUAUAUUAGAGUUAGAAAUACCAAUUGGAUGAGCAGGUUCAGAAGGAGGUUGAGGUCGAUGAGGUCGUCGGGAAUAGUCCUUAAGAGUUGGAGGGUGUGCUCUCUCUGAGCAGAAGACAUUGUUGGAGUGGGUAAUGAGUCACCAAGAUUGCUUUGUGCACCUGUAUCAGAGUUAGAAAUACUAACUGGAUUAGCAAGUUCAGAAGGAAGUUGAGGUCGAUGGGAAUAGUCUUUAAGAGUUGGAGGUGGAGCUAGGUUGGAAAAGUUGGAGUGUUGUUAUGGCCUUCUUAUUUUCUGUAUUAGGAGAAAAUGCGGAGAAGUCUCGAAAAAACUAACAUCUACAGAGAUCAAGUACUUAUUGGUAGAGAGAUCAAAAUAUUUGUAUUCUCUUUGUAGACGAGAAUACAUAAGAAAGACACAAUUUGAAGGCCUUGUGUUGAAGUUUAUCUUUUCCGGGGGUAAGGUUAUGAACAAGGUGCAACCAAACAUAUGUAGAGGAAGGGAAAACAAACUUUGGUCCUGAUAGAAGACUGAGUAAUGACUCUGGUAUUGCAAAACAGAUGAAGGCAUGCGAUUGGUUAAGUAACAAGCACUAAUAACAACAUCAACCCAAAAACAUAAAGGGACAUAGUUGUGAAUGAGCGAUGUUCGAGCUGUUUCUGUUCUUUCGCUCAGCAACUCCAUUUUGUUGAGGAGUAUGUGCACGAGAAGACAAGUGCGAUAUUCCCUGAGAUGACAUAAAAGAAGAGACAGAAGUAGAAAAGUAUUCUCGGACAUUAUCACUUAUUAACUUCUUAAUGGAAUACCAAAUUGAUUGUGAAUUAUAACAUCAAAUUUCUGAAAAAUAAACAAUAACUCAGAUCUACUUUUUGUUAAAAAUAAUCACGUGCACCAAGAACAAUCGUCAAUAAAAGUAACAAAAAAAUAAAAGCCUAAGGAAGAACUGACACAACUUGGACCCUAUAUAUCUGAAUGAAUGAUUCCAAACAUAAAGGUGGCUCUAUUAUCAAUGCGUUUUGGGAAAGAGGCAUGAGUGUGCUUUCCAAACUGACAUGACUCACAUUCUAACAAAGAUAAACUCGAUAAACUGGGGACCAUAUUUGCAAUUUCAAGAGACUUGGAUGACCCAAUUGACUAUGGAGUAAUUUAGAUGAAAUAGCGGAAGUAGAAGCAACAUAUGGUGUUGGGAUAGAGAACAGGUACAAUCCUUGUGAUUCAUGUCCUUUUCCAAUCACAUAUCCCGUACUCCGAUCCUGCACAAGAAUAGAAUCAUCAAAGAAGGUUACAACACAUUUAAGUUUUUUUGUUAAUUUGCUAAUGGAAAUAAGAUUAUAUGGACAUUUAGGUGCAAAGAGGAUUUUGAUUUAAAAGGUAUGGAAUGAUUUUGAGAAGAUAAUUAAAUAACAGAAGUGUGCUCUGUCUAACAACUUAAGCGUUUAGAUGAGAUGGUCACAUACUUCAAUGAUUUUAUUGUACAUUUAUGUAUAUCUUGUAUAUGUUAUUUUGUAUAUACAUUUUUUUAAGCAGCGACUCAGUUUUAAAAUUUGGCAACAACUGAACAACUGGUUCUAUUAAAUGUAAAUGUAAAUGUUAAUGCUAUUAUUAGAAAUUAGAAGAUCACGAAAUCCACUCUGUAAAUCCGAUCUGGCCCAUUUAGCCCGUUAACUACACUAACAAAGGUAUGGUUCUGAGCCGGACAUCCUUUCCCCGUGCCCAAUUCCCACCCCUUAACAUUAGCUACGGUUAGCCCGAGUACUGUGUGACCACAUUUUUAUGAAUCAGAUUGUCCCAGCGUGACCGGAUGAUAUCCUUACUUCAAUGUUCGAAAUAUAAUAAUUAAUAAUCUCAUUAAUGACCUAUAAAAAUUAUGGAAUAGACAUUUACAUUCAAAAUAUACGUAAUCUAAGAAUAUGGUAAGUAAUUUUAUGAAAAUUUUCUAUUUAUUGAUACAGCUUCUUCUGCAAUCUCAAGCUUCUUCCUCCCUUUCUCUUUCUAGGUUUCUUGCGGCCUCUUUGCUGCUGGUUUCGAUGGGGCAACAGCUUUUGCAGAAACACAAGGAAGAAGAGAAACAUGUUGCUGUAAAAGAGGUGGCUAAGGAGGAUAUAGUUCAGGGUGAUGAACAGGACUUCCGGUCCAAAUAUCCACGUUUGGCUGCAUCAUUUGAAAGCAUGGCUGGCAUGUCUACAAUGUACCCGAAUGGAACAAGUUACUUGAAGGAGAAGAUGAGUUUGAUUGCUACUGACAAGGCUAAAGAAUUGGAGGAGAAGUGGAAGAAACUGGAGGAUGACGAAGCUGCCUUGAUGGUGAAGCGGUUAGAUUUUAUUGCGGAGCAUUACAAAUUGGUGGUUGAUGCAAUGAGAGGUAACUAGAUGCUGAUGGAUCAUGUUCUAUUCGAUGCUACAAGUUCUGAUACUGUUUCGGUGGAGUUUUAGAUUUGUUUCAUAUAGUCUUGUUUCUCAAGACAAUUUCUUCUCGUGUUGAUGCGCUUAUGUUUAGUCCGCGAGGUAGAUUUAGUUUGUCCGGUUUAUUCCUACAUUUUAUUGCUUAUUUAGUUUUACUAGUGAACUGGUUUGGAUGAUAUCCACUGUGUUGCUUCUUAUAUAUGUUAGUGUGGUAUGGAGUGAUUGGCUCUAUUGUUGGAUUGCAAUGAAAUGCCUACACAUUCCUAUCAUAUAAUGUAUGGUGGAAACAAGCUUAGGAACAGCUGAAGUGGAAUGUCUGGAGACAUUCUGGUUCAUCCUUUGUAAUAUGUCAUUUCCUAUUCCAGAUGAAAAUAUAUUUAAAUGCCACCUUUA
rnacentral:lncRNA from 1 species